rnacentral:lncRNA from 1 species
UUGAAAGCGAUGAAGCUGAUGCACUGUACUUGCCUGGUGUUGUCGAAGCCGAUGAUGCGGACAUAGGCGCCAGGGUAUUCCUUCUUGACCUCCUCCAACUCCUUGAGCACCUGCGUGGCGUCAGUGCACCCGAACAUGGGAAGCUUCCACAUUGUCCAGUACCUCCCGUCCUAGUACCCUGGGGAGUUGCCGUGCUCACGGAAGACGAAACCGACCUUGCUGAACUCGAGGCAAGGAACCCAUUUGGAGCGGAUGAGAUACUCGAUCUGCUUCAGGAGGGACUCCACGGUGAGAGGUGGCAGGUAGGAAAGGGUCUCGAACUUCUUGAUGCCCUCAAUUGGCCACACCUGCAAUUAGAUUAAAAUUAGCACACAAAGUGUGAUUUGAGACACAUAUCGAUGGAGUAUUUCACUUCACACAUAUCGGUAUGAUGAUAUACAUACCUGCAUGCUCGUGAUCCUGCCACCGUUGGAGACGCUGCCGAGGCCAGCGCCGGCAGAGCGGCGGCUGACGGGGAGCCCGGCGGUGGACUUGAGGCCCCGGAAAGGAGCAACAGCGGUAGCCGCCGCCGACAUCACUGUCGGACCCAUAGCAUCCACCCUUGUAUCACUAGAGUAUAUCUACUUAGCUAAUAUGCUAAGUUUGGCACGGAGAGAGGAGGUCGAGUGGACUUCAUUCCUGGUCACAAGGGUUUAUAUAUACCAUAUAACAUACGAGCAAUUUGUGAUUAAUUUGUUGUCGUUCUAGGAGAUGUGGAAAGGGUGGAUGCCGUUCGUUGGUUGCCUUAUCCGUUCUAGAGAAGGGAUGGAUGACCGACGCUCGCUCAGCCGUCUCCUUCGUCCAUCGUUGCCAAUCUUUCUAGCUAUAAUUGGAAGUUCCAAAGGAACAUACGGUUUCAUGCCUACUUCCAUCGGCCUAUCAUGUACCAAUCCAAUAAAAGGACAUCGUUCAACCAUCAAUCCAUGUGUGUGUAGUAAGUGAUUGGCUACGAACCUUCAGCUGACUUGCUUUAUUGGAUAUUUCUGUAAAGCGAGUCCACGGUGUGUGGGUUUAAAAUCUCGUGGCGGCAACUGUUGACGGGUGCAAAUAUCAGUAGCCUUAAAACAAUAAACUUUACUCCGUCCCUUCCGAAAUGCAAGAAUGUCCUAAGUCAAACUUCUUAUGCUGCAGGACCAUAGUUUUUGAGGUGUUCUUCUCACGAGUCCACGAAGAACGGGAAUUUUUUGGUGUCGGGUAAGGGCGGGGGAAUAUAUAGAUGCUAGCAUCAGCAUGACGGGCUAACGGGUCAGGUAGGAUUUUGGACGACGUAGCACCUGACAUGUGGGGGCCACAUGUAAGAAAACCUGUCAAAAUGUCAUAACCCUCUGUUUUGGUCAACUUGAUACAAUCUGAUACAAAACGUGUGGUUUUCCUGACAAAUUAGCAAAUUUUGUGUCUCUGUGAGAAGCACGCCCCAAAAACUGUGGUUCCGUGAAAUUUAUUCACUAGUUACACUUUAUCUACAAACAUCUACGAUUCUAAAAUAGUUUGGUAUAUAUUUUCCGUAAUAUAAUUAUUUGAUAUUCUAAAUUCGGGGAUUUGUUCUUAUAAACUUGGUCGAAGUUUAAAAAGUUUGACUUCGGACAAAGUUACGACUUUUUACAUUUAGGAAUGAAGGGAAUACAUUUUAGUAAAGCAAUUGAGGAAUUGACAGAAUUAAAUAUCUUAAAUUAUACUGGUCCAUCGUGUACUCAUGGCAACAAAAUAAAUUUAUAGUCGAAAAGUUGGACCAUGAAAACUUAAAACGUGAUACAUUAAAAUUGUUGAAUCACUCUACAUCUUGUAAUUUUCUCUUGCAACCUUCUGGCGCGCUACUCAUUCCACAUUUGGUACUAUAUGUAUAAAUGUAUAUAUAUACCGCAUUAGGAGCCUCUAUUACUGUUUUAGUAUAAAUAGCAGUUUCCAUCGACUAUGCACUUCAUUAACUUUUUCUUCACGAGAUAACUUGCUUAUCGAUUUUCUUUAAUUAUCCAGAUGGCUUCUACUAGUUUGUUUCCUUGCUUACUGGGAUUUCCGCAGACUUUACGGUUAGGUAUUAUUGUCGUGUGGACAACACGGUGGCCGGAUGUUGAGAUGAUGAUGUCCUUUAUCUCCGUGUUGCUUCUGAGGACUGCGGAUCCGAGGCUAGUGGCGGUAUGGGAUGCCUCUCUACCUCUUGAUCAGGUCAAUCCGGCUCAGCAAGAGGCGGAUCGAUGGUGGCCGGUGUGACUAGAAGCGGGGAGGUAUAUAUGAAACGUUUCUUGCUUCCAGCAUCUCUUCUAGCGGUAUAUAUGUCGUCAGCUGGUUGAGGGAUUGAUGGCAAUCGAUCAUGGCUACGAUGACAUGUAUACGCGCCGGUAGGAACACAUAUCAGGCAAUGUCGAUGCACCUGCAUUGGGCCCUUGCUGAAGGUGGUGGUGCGUAUGGCAGUCUAAAGAUUUAAGACACAAAUUUAGACUUAAAACUUAAAUAAUCAAUUUGUGCCAGCGGGAAACACACAAACACGUACCGGUAAAUUAUCAUAAUCAGAAUUUGUCGACGAAUUUGAUAUUCUUUUACAAAAUAUACUUAUCUUAAUAUGUAUAACCGGAGUUUAUAUUACAUGCCCCUCUCCCAACGAUAGUUGUAGUACUCUUAUAAUAGUAGUACUCAUGAAUACAGUUAAUCCGGGUUGUUGGGAGAGAUCACAUGCAUAAAUACAACAUGAAACAAACGUGUGAAAAAGGUACAUAAAAUCGGUGUGACCCGUUCUUGUAUUAUAAGAAAUCAACUUGCUUAGGCCUUGCCGGACUCCUCACAACCCGGUGGCUUGAAGGCGAUGAAGCUGAUGCACUGCACUUGCCUGGUGUUGUCGAAGCCGAUGAUGCGGACAUAGGCGUCAGGGUACUCCUUCUUCACCUCCUCCAGCUCCUUUAGCACCUGCGUGGCGUCGGUGCACCCGAACAUGGGAAGCUUCCACAUUGUCCAGUACCUGCCGUCGUAGUACCCGGGAGAGUUGCCGUGCUCACGGAAGACGAAACCGACCUUGCUGAACUCGAGGCAAGGAACCCACUUGGAGCGGAUGAGAUACUCGAUCUGCUUCAAGAGGGACUCCACGGUGAGAGGCGGCAGGUAGGAAAGGGUUUCGAACUUCUUGAUGCCCUCAAUUGGCCACACCUACAAUUAGAUUAAUAAUUAGCACCGAAAGUAUAAUUUGAGACACAUAUCAGUAUUUCACUUCAACAUAUGUACAUGAUGACAUACAUACCUGCAUGCACCUGAUCCUUCCACCGUUGGAGACGCUGCCGAGACCAGCGCUGGCUGAGCGGCGGCCGAUGGGGAGCCCGGCGGUGGACUUGAGGCCCUGGAAAGGAGCAACGGCAGUAGCCGCUGACGACAUCACUGUGGGAGCCAUCGUACACGUACGUAGAUAGCUAACAAGAGGAGGCAGGCUUGCUUGAGUGCUCUCUAGCUACAGCGGCUUAUAUAACUGUAGGCUCCCCACCCAUCCAAUAUCAGCACAAGAUCUAGGAGGGGUGGCUGCAGUUCGCCGCGCGGAUUUGCCCAGGCCACGCUGGCAUCCUACGGAUCAGGUCGGGCGCCACAUGGCCGCACGAAAUGGCGCGCGUUAUCCUCUGGACGGAUACAAUUGGCUGCAACGCACUCUGCAAAUCAUGCCAUGAAGUGACCAAUUUUCACCUAUCAGGAUAGAUCCAAUGUGCCACGGCAUGCACUCAAAAACAGAACUUGCUAAUCCCUCCAAUCCAUAAAAAAUCUCGCCCACUUAUUAGAAAAUUUGUAAUGAGUUAAUGCAAAAUGAGCAGCACUUUUUAUGAACUAGAGGAACAACAAAUUAAGAGAAACUCUUCUAAGAUCUUAUCGAGAACGAAGCUUGCCCCCGCGUCGCUCAGUCUGGGGCGACACGGGCGGCAACCACACCAGCCCCGGCAGCAGCCUCUCCCCGUCCUCUCCUCCCCCUCGCCGCCGCCGGGCAAAGCCCGCACGGGGACGGCGGCGGCGGGGCUGUUUUUCUUGGCGGGGGUGUCCUAGAGCUCUUGGCUGAGGCGUUUGAGGUGCUGCCUCAUCGUGGUCGCGGCGUCUCCGGCCCGAUCCGGCAGGCUAUGCCUCGUCUUCGGCUAGAUCCGGCCGGCUUCCUCCCGGAUCCGGUGUUUCCCCUCGUUCUUCCUCUCCCUGGUGCUCGGUCUGCUCGUGGCUGCGCGGCUUCACGGCGGCGCUCUUCGGCCGGAUCUAGCUACUCGUUGGCCAGAUCCGUCAUCUCCUCCGGCUGAUCCGGCAUGUCCCAGGUCUCUUCGUUUCCAUCAUUUUUCCUCUCAGUUUGGUGAGGCGGCUGAUUGAACUUCACCGGCGGCAGAUGGGCUGCUGCUGCGGCCAUACAUGGUCCAAGUCGGUCCUUUUCGAUGCCAUGGUGGCGUGGUUUUCAUUUUCGGUCGCGUCUUCGGCUGCUGCCCGUGUGCGAGGUAUGGACGUCGGCUCCGGUGUUUGGAGUGUUGCUCUGGAUGAAAACUGCCCGUGUGCGAGGUAUGCCGAAGACAACGAUGUUGUAGCGCCGUUUUCCUUCUUGGAGGUGUCGUCGAAGAGCUUCACUUUCCCUCACUUUGAUGUUUGGUGUCUUCGGGUGAAAACCUAAGAUUUGGCUAUGGCCAGAUCGGGCGACAACGGCGUUUUUACGUCGAUUUCCUCCUUGGGGGCGUUGUCAUGGAGACAACGACUCUUGGUGGCAUCGGGUGGUGUGGUCCGUCUAUGGUGGAGCUUGUUGUCUCGAGUUGUUGAAGGUUUGGUGGUGUCUCUUCUUGUGUCAUGUGUUAGCUUAGGCUGUCGGUUUGUGUCCGGCGAGAACGUGCGUUUCUUAUCCUUUGGUGCGGUUUCGGCAUGUGAUGCCUUUCGUCUUCACUAUCGUCACGUAGGUGUCGUGUUGUAUUCUCGGUGGUGUGUGGUCUUUCGGCUUAGCCAACGGCAAGUGGAGGUAUGAUCUCGGUUGUGUAUUGCCCUUCGACUUCAUCGGCGGCACAUCGGCGUCGCGGUGGGUCUCAGUGACGCGCAGCCCUUCGACUCUGCCGGCUACGUAGGUGUCAUGGUGCGGCCUUGACCCUGUGCUUCCCUUCAGCUACGGCGACGACAUAGUGUCUGGGUGGGCUCGUCAGAUCGACGCCUUUCGACUACAUCAACUAUGCUCUUCAUUGUGCAUUUAUUUUGCCAUUGACAUGUUUCAAGAGUCUAGGUUUUUUCCUUGUGUUUCUUUUAGCAAAUGCUGUUCUGCAGGCUGGCUUUUGCCCACCCGAUCAGAAAAGAAAAACAAAUUAAAGGCUAAAAUCAAGCGAUGUUAUAUUCCCUUAGCUAUUACAAAUAUGGAUGAUAAGAGUUAUUUAUCCUUUUUCAACGAGUAACCCUUUACUUGGAAGUUCCAUGUGCAUGGCGCUGCAAGAAAACAAACAUCAUAAUGGGGCAAGACUUUUUUUUUUAUAAACAUCCAAUUUGGGUUAAAGUCUGAAAGAAUUUGGCUAUCUGAACUUUCAGUUUCCACAUUCUUUUACCUACUCAAUUCUUCAGCCAACAGGAUCAAUGGCGACCUACUAACACCAACCAGAACACAUGGGUCACAAACACGAAAAAGGGCUAGAAGGCUACUUAUACACACUCAUGUGUACUGCGAGCAAAAGAACAUAAUGUACAAAACUUUACAAAAUCUAGGGAAUUAAGACCUUCCCGUAUGCUGUUGCUGCCGCUGCUGCUUCAUGCUGGCUCUCCUGGCAACAUCCCAUGGUUUGUGAGGCACACCUACACCUUGCUGGGAUGCGAAGAACGACUCGUAUCCCGGGGAGUCGAAAGCAAAACCAGUGUGCUUGGAGUUCUCUCGAGGGAGCAUGGAGAUCGCAUAGCUUCUUGCUUCUUCUGGGCUCAAAUGGCUCCUCUCAGGCAGAUGUAUCAUGCUGUAUUCGUGGGGGUCAUCCUUGUGCAUCUCCUGGAUUACUUGGUAGUCAUAGGGAAAGAGCCAUCUUUGGAGCCUGAGAAAGCACACAGCAUCAAAGACAACAAUUGAUUCAGCUACUUCAGUAUGUACAAUGGAAGGAAUAACAAACGGAUGGCAUUAACAAACAUAUAAUUUUGCAAAAGAGCUGGUAUCUUACGAUAGAUACAGGAAAUCACCAAAGAGAGCGAUGACUGGAGCAAGCAUUAGUGUGAGGUAGAAGAAAAAGGUACUCAUCAGAACAUAAAUCACAAAAUAUACAUUUUCCUGCACAAGGUACACAGCAUUAAGUCAAUGCAUUUGUAGCAAGUAAUCGUCAUCAGCAGUGUAAUAGCUACAUUAUUCACCCACCUGUCGGUCAAAUGAUGUCAUUAUCGCAGAAUAUAUGAAGAUAAACAGAAACCAGGCCGCUAUACUGCCAGCUACGCUGAAAUAAUGCCAUCUCGUGAUAGAAUUGCACGACAUGAGGAGACGUAGAUUAACAGUCACCACAACACAAGUAAAGGCCAUCGUGCUAACAUCCCAUUGACCAAGAAUCUUGCCAGAUGAACCGUGACCAUGCUGACUUGCAGCUGCAGUAAAGUAAUAGAACACUAUUGACUGGUAGAAGGCAAAGAAACCCCACACCGCAAUCACUUUCCACCGGAAGAAUGUGUUCCUAAUUCCUUCUUGGUAAAGUUGUGGGUAUUUUUUUGAUAGAGAUGCACUCACAUCCUGAAAGGGUUCAGUUUAGUGAAUGUAGCAAGGAGCGUCACUCCAGAACAAGAAAAGUAGAACAAAUACAAGCAACCAUACCUUAUCAAACAACCCAACCAUAAUUACAGGUAGUGCCGUGAAAAUGACAUUAUACAGAGACUGGAACCAGUCAUCAUAAAAUCGCUGACCAGAAAAGCCAGUUUGGAAAGUGAACCAGAACUGAGUUAGUGUAAAAGUCAGAUUCUUGUAGAAGAAGUAUGUGAUAACCUGAAACAGAAAGUGUCAAUGUUAAAAAAAUUAAACUACACAGAUUGGCAGCUACAAGCUAAGGGACCAAAGCAUACCUUGCACAAUCUCAAGUAUGACCACCGCCCAUGUACAAGAAGUAAAUCCGUAAGAUAUCGAAACUGAGCAAUGGCAAAAUCACUCGCCAUAACAGCUUGCAUUCCUUCUUGUCCGCUGAUGCCAAUACCAACAUGAGCAGCUUGAAUCAUACUCACAUCAUUAGCACCAUCACCAAUACUGAGAGUUAUCUUACGUGCACCUUUCCUAACUAAACUUGCAACCUACAAAUGUGUCAACAUUACAUGUUUUGGCAUCAUUCGAACCCAACAGGUUAUUAGGAAAUAAAUCCAAAAAUAAGAGACUUUGAGAUUGCUGAUGGGAUGGGUAACAACCAAAUAAGCACAUAUACAAUAAGUUAAUUAAUACUACCUUUGUUUCAAAAUAUUAUACCAAAACGUCUUAUAUUUUGAAACAGAGAUAGUACUUAUAGUACAAGAGUGUACAGGACAUUUAGUUAAGAGGCCAAAACUAGAAUAGCAAAAGCAACCAAUGCACAGUGGUUAAUAAUGAUCUUGUGAAUCAUGCACAAACUAUUUUGUUGUCAAGGUACAAAAUUGGAUCCUUUAAAAUGUAAUAAUAUCAAUAUCCCCCGUUUAUUGCCCAAGCAUCCUGAAAGGCAUGCAGCUGAGAGCUGCAGACCAUACUGCUAAUUAUUUCAUGGGAAAAGGCAAGGCAUGCAUGAUAAGAACGCUAAAAGCGAGAAUUGAUAUUUACCUGUGCCUUUUGCAGUGGAGAAACUCGACAACAUACAACUGAUUGGCAAAUUAAACUCAAACCAAGAAGAUUCACACGCAGAGCUGGGUCUAGAGCGUACAUCAAGCAUCGUCCAUCAAUAAUGAAAGCCAACUUUCGUCCUGGCGUGCUCCUCAAAGAACGGUGGGCUUCCUCAAGGUAACUUCUCAGACUCUGUUUUACCGAGUCUUUGAUAACACGUGCAAUUUCCACAGGGUCUCCCUGAAAAUGACUGGAACAUUAUUCAUGGCAAAGAUAUGUGCAUAAGUUGAUUUACAUCAAUCAGAUACAAAUGCUAAAUUGCUAAUUAUGGUUGAUCAAACUGCAAAACACACGAGAUAUCCAAAAGGCUAUAUAAACAUGAUGGAGAGGCUAAAGCACUGAAACAACAGAAUCAACAUAAAGUAUUUUGUACUAUUAUGCAACUAAGCCUUUUGUCCCAAGCAAGUUGGGGCAGGCUAGAUAUGAAACCCAAACAGAAACUAAAGCAAAGUGCAGGUAACAAAAGAGCAAGAGAGUAAAUCAAGGUUCAGGCACAUGGACUGCUGAUUUCCAUGCAGCCCUAUCAAAAGCAAAAUCUCUAGAUACAUUCCAGUCCUUCAAGUCCCUUUAACUGCCUCCUACCAAAAGCAAAUAUCAUAGUAAUCCACCAACCAAAGUAACAAGGGAACUACUUGUAACUUCUUAGUUCACAAGUACAUACCAGUUGAGCUAUCCAAUUAUUCUAAAUAAUAUGGUUUGAUACCUUUACCAAAGUCUCAACUUGUAUUCAUUUUAAAGCUUAUACAAGAUAUUAUAUGUUAUGGCUUAACAGUCUCCAUGACACAAUAUGGCUUGACUUCACAGUUUAAUUCUAUAGGAUUAUCUUACCCUGUCUUCAGCAUCUCUAAUUGCAUCUGUCUCAGAAGUGAUGAUGAAUUGUUUUGUAUCGUUAUUCACCAGGCUGCACGCUGCAGAGCAAAAACUAAAUAACUUCAGAAGCUUUUCUAUGUCAGGUGAAAGAGAGAGAAAAAGACCGCCCGCCCCCCACCAAUAAUCCAAAACUGAGCUUCUAUUAGACCCCUUAAGAACGAAACAAGCAUGCAAAUUGAUCUAUAUAUAAUUAAAACCUCACCAUAUGCUAUAUUAAUUGCUGUUUCCAUUUUAUCUCCAGUUAGCACCCAAAUUUUUAUGCCAGCUGCAGAAAGAGUUUCAAUGCAGGCUGGAACCCCUUCUUGCAGUUUGUCUUCUAUUGCAGUGCACCCUAUCAAUAUAAGGUCCUUUUCAAUCAACUCAGCCACCUACAGGGGAAGAAACAGAAGGAAAUUAUAUGGCAAUGUCCCAGCAAUAUCUUAAAUCAGAAUAUACAUUAAGUCUAUUACUUCAAAUUCCUUUUUCCUAGAAAUCACAGUGAACUUAGUACAUGAAAGAAUGAAAGGAUAAUGCUUUUCUAAUGGGGAUUUGAAAAAACAUCAUAAAAAUAAUAAUAUAAAGUACUGUAUGUUCUUGUUCUAGAUAAAUUACAAAUAUCUUUUGCUCAUGAUCCUCUUUCCUGACUAAAAAAUAUAUAUUAUUAUGUAAAAUACUAAUGUUCUAUGGCAGUACAAGAUAAUAAAUUAGCACAAAAAACUAUUAAACUGCAAAUGUCAGCUGUUAGGGAUGGAUGACAUGACUCCUGUAGUUUUGGGGGGAGAGAGAGAGGAGACACACUGAACAAAUUACUUCCUUCGUCUCCAAAGAUUGCCAUGCCACAUUCUAUUCGGUCAGUCAACCUUUUACAACUUCAAAAUUAACAAUUAUAAGUGAAUUGAAUUACUACAUGAAAAAUAACAGCACUCAAUUUGCUUGCAUAAUAAUUUGUACGCAAAACUUUUGCUUGUAUAUUAGCAUAGAAAUCAUAGCCAGAGUUUUAUGUUGGGAGAAUAUAAAAUUAAAAAAUGGCCUACAUUUGUCAGGUACAUUCAGUUAAUUGUUUCCAAAACCAAAUUAAUUUUCAUACAUAAAUACCAAACGGAUCAAUAGCAUGCUCAACAGUGCACAUGAGACUCGAGUUCAGUACUGGAUGACAGAAAGUAAAAAAAAUCAGGCAAGCACUAGAAGGUGGAGGGGAAGUAAUCGAAAUUCAAAUCACAGGGACUGUUCAGCCUGUAUACUCAACAGAAGAGGAUGGUACACAUACCUCAUCAAGCUUCUUAUCACGAUCUCGUAAAGAAGAUUUAGCUUGAACAAACUUCUCAUUCCAGCUUUCGUACUGCUCCCUGCUUAGAUCUCGAUAAGCAAGGCAAAGCGUGCGCAAGCCAGCAGAGCCAAAUUGUUCUAGAUGUUCUCUGCUUGUCUUUUUAAUGUCAUGAUUUCCAUCAGCUAACCGUUCAAAAAUGACAUUAUCAGCGCCCUGUUACACAACAUUUGUAUAAGGUUAGUGCAUCAAUCUACAAAGUGAUAGCUACAUAAAGAUUCUUUUUUCUUGUAUUACCUUGCAAUACAGAACAAGUUUUCCAUUUGGGAAACGGCAAACCACAGAUUGGCGCUUUCUUGUACUGUGAGUGCAGUAAAGUGUGAAGUGCAGAACAAUGAUUUCAUCUUGUCAAAUUUAAAUUGAAAACAGAUAAACCAGACCUGUUGAAUUCCAAAACAUUCAGAAUUUCAUAUGCAACAUCUUGUAUACUCCCCAUCCUCUCAACAUGUGAUUCCCGAACCAAGACUGUGGUUGGCGUACGUCUACAAGACAGGCACAAAAUGUCAACCACCGGCAUUGCCAUUCACAAUAAAAAUGCCACAUGAAAUAAUUUGCAACAAAAAUCAUAAGAACUUAGAUGAGUUCAUGUUCACAGCACUUGCUUUAACACUUGUCUUAAUUUACAACGGCAAUUUUUUGUUGAUGGGCUAAUAGUUUAUUUAUGCUUCUUAGUAUGUACAUUCAGUCCUUCAUACAACAAACUAUAUAAGCAAUAACCUGGGUGAGUGACUCUUUUAUGCACAUUUUCCUUGGGACCAUAGCAUAGUUUUUUAAGAUACCUUGUUUGCAACAAACUGAUAAGAGGAAUCUAUAACUGUAUUUAAAGGCAAGGUAAGACAUGCCUAUAAAAGAAGAAACCAAAAUUCUUCGCAGCAGCGACAAGCGCGGCCUCGUCGGGAGAGGCAGCUUGAUAAGUAAUCUUUUCCGGUGUCUCCUCACCCUCAGGAAGAACUGUAUGACAGAUUGCAAGGCAUCUGCAGAAUUGCUAUAGAGCAAAUAACAAAGUUGUUACACAACUAGCACAUUAACAAGGGAAAAUGUGAAAAAGGAAAAUAGGUUCCAAAUUUUAUUAGUAAGGGCAUAUAUCGUGAUAUGUGAAUAAUUUGUGUCAACUAAAUCAAAACUGAUUAUGACCAAAGGGGAACCAAUCGAACUAUUCCACAGGUAGUCCCGUAUUUACCACGCAAGCAUCAGGAUUAGGUUCAUUUCUCCAUGCACCACGCAUUAUUCUAGCAUCAUCAAAGUUGAAUCCUUUCUCAUGAACUGCAGUGGCUGAUCUUUUACCCUAAAAAAGGCAAGUAAACUGGAUAUUAAAUCAGUUGUGCAUUAAAUUUUUCAUCAUAUACCACCACACUUCAAUAGCGUAAACAACAAAGAAAAUGUUGUAGACCUCAUCAUCAUCAAUCUUGACUCCGGCUCGCUCGGCUCCUCCUUUUUCAAUCUCUGUGAUGCCAGUUCCAUAUAUUUCCCCUCCAAUCGAACAUUUAAAGAAUUCCAUCAAGUUUCUUGUAAGUGUUCCAGUUUUGUCAGAAAAUAUAUACUCAACCUGAACCAUUAGUGGGGCAAAAAAAAUUUGGCAGAAAUGUCAAAUUAUUUGCAAGUGUUAAGUGCAUUUUAGUACCACUCGGCAUUUGUUCAGUCAUAUAAGCAUUUCUGGGGAUCUAGAACAGUUUUUCGGUGGGAGUAAGUCACUUAAUAUUAGUGAAAUGAGACUGUUCCCCAAGUGCUUAUAAUUGAUCCCACUUUCUGGAAUGAGUCGGUGCAGUGAGGUCAUUCUAUCCAUUAACCAAACCCAGCCAUAUAGGUCAAAUAAGUAAAUAACCCCAUUUCAGCAACAAACAAAGGGGCUUUCAUCAAACUAAACAGAAUGCUAAGGAACAAAAAAAAAACUGAUAUUACCUGCCCAAGCUCCUCAUUCAGAUUAGAAGUCCGAGCCAAAGCUGGGGUGUUGCUCUCGGCAUGAUACAUAUUCAGAUCAUUGUUAAUAAACUUUGCACACUGAAUGAAUUUGAUCAUCUGCCAGCCAAAAUAAACAUAAGGUCCAAUCCAAAUACAGGGUACACUAAAUGAUAAAUUGGUCAAUAUACCUCAAUGGAUACAUAAAGAGAAAUGGGGAUGAUCGUUGAGUAUAGAGUUAUUAGAGUAAACAUAGUUAAAAUGGUCACCUGCAAAAGUACAAACCUAUGAUAUAAGGCCACUUAGAGAAUAUUCUCUACAAUAAAUUAACUAAAAUAAUAUAUACCACAAAUCUGUUCUUGGGAUUAAACUGGUCCUCGACACGCCCACGCAAUCCAAGAUAGAAGUAUUUCUCAUUAAUAAACACGCCACUGUUCACAAAAGCCAAGUAUGAUGAGUCCAUUGGUAGAGUUUUAGGUUUCUAAAGAACGUGCAAGCUAAGCAGUCAUAGUUACCAAAAUCUAUAUGCUGAACAGAGCACUUCCAUUUCUGACCAUCUAGAAAGUGCCCUAUUAUGUACCUCCCACAUAAAACCACUAAGAAAAAAGAUAAGGCUAUUAAGACCUAGUCAUGUGCUCAUCUAUACUGCUCCUAUGCCACAAUAAAAAAAUAACUUCCCCAAACAAGCUCCUGACAACUCAUGUCAUAAUGUUUAAAGUUUAUCUCUCUAUUAACAGUUGUUUUUUCAUGAUCAAUUAAAUUGUGAAAAAUGAUUGUGCAAGCAUAAGCCUCCACAACAUCAACCUAACCGAUAUAACUCAUGUUCAGAGAAUAUACAUGUAAACAAUAAUACAAGAUAGAUAAGUCAAAUAAAUGAAGUGGGCCAAAUAAAACACUGACCUUCCAAUAGCACCAAUGACACACAUCGUAAAGAGGGUUGCAAAUAGAGCAAGAAUAAGCUUGUCUAGUUUCUUCUCCAAUGUACUUCUUUUAGAGGGAACAUUCAUAGAAUUCAUCAUAACCUGCAAUAGUGUCCCACUGCAGUAAAUCUCAAAACUAGAAGCACAUCUAACCUACAAGUUGAAUAUAUAGGGACACAAAAUUGCACAUACUUUCGUCUCAUGGCCCGUGAAUAUAACAGCCGCGACAAUGUACUCUGUAUUACGAAGGCUGCAUCCCUGUGGCAAAGUGGUAAUAAGAGGUUGCAUGUGUGCCACAUAAAGAGAGAGAAUUAAGUGUCAUGCAAGACACCGUUCAGUCUGGUGAAAGUAAACAUUUCUUUUGCACUUUACAAACAUUGCUUCAACCCUUCACCACUUAUCCUACAUAUGGGACUAGAGAAGAAAUGGAAGUUGUUUAUAUGAAUGUUAAACAUUUCCAAAUUGUUUAUAUCAUAGCUAUCCUUGUUUGCAAACCAAUAAGAACAAUAUUAUUAUAGAGGUGUUUUAUGAUGAAAAUUUCUGCUGGUGACAUUUGGGUGUCGUCAAUAUUGGUAUUUGGAGGAGAUGUUGGUGAUCAAAGUUAAAGGCCGAGUAAAGGCAUCACGCUAUGAUGUUAUUUUUUACCUGAGGGAUUUUCUUAACAAACUCAUGCUAAAUCUAGAACAUGCAAACAACUUUGCAGGUGGACAAUCUUGUAAAGAAAUUUCAAGGGCAUGUUUGUGUGAGGGGUAUUACUUUGGUACGUGUUGGUAACUACAUACCUAAUUGUUACAAGAAAAAUCUCAUCCAAACAAGCCCUAAGGACAUUAUGGACCUUGCUACUGCAAAGUUGGUAAGUCGAAAAUACGACAGGAUGUCUGAUUGAUAUGUAGGACCUGGACCCACAUGUCAUUCUCACAGCGAGUCGCACUAUUUCAAAUGUCAACUUUGUGGUGGCAUGGUUUCAAUUUUCCCAAUAAGAAACUAGAUACAAAUAGCAUAGAUGAACAGCACUUACCCUUAGUAGUAUUUGAUUUGGUGAAAUUGGUAUAGUUUGCUUGUCCACAAUAAGGUUCCCGGUAAAUGUAUAAAGUGAAUUGUUUGGCUGUUCGCAUUGUAUUUCACCUGUAAGCCAUGAAACAUACAGAUAAUGUGAAGUUAAGAAAAUGUAGAAUAGUUAAGUGAAGUUCAGAAAAGGAGCAAUGCUUCCUACACCAACUACCGAAAAAUGUCUGCAACAUGGAACAAGAAUAGAUAAAAACCUUUGAAUUCAGAAGCCUUUUCAGGAAUUACGCAGUCCCAGGUUUUCUCCAAAGCCUUCCUUAUUUUCAGGUUAGUUUCCCCAUCAAGAUUUGCUGUCUAAGGUAAAUAGAAGUAUGAUACACUUCAAUUAAAACAGAGUUUCUCUAAAUCAUUCAAUAAUUUCAAUUUGGACAAAAGAUGGAGAAGGUAAGAAUGAAUAUAUUGACCUCUAUGUAGCAGACACCAUCAGGGUUCGUACUUGAUAGGAAGAGCAAGUCAGAAGGAAAGUAAGUGUCUUGCUUGAUCUGCUCUAAAGAAGUGCCAUCACUAUUAGUCUUUUUGGAUAUGUGUAUCGAGCUGAAGAUUAAAUUUGCACAGCACAAAAGAUCAAGUGCAUUAAUUUGUGGAAGCAACAGAUCAAUUGAAUUGAUCAUCAAAUUGCUAUCAGGAAAGAUGAAGACAUUACCCUCACAAUAUCUCCAACCUGCAGUCUUUUCCAAGGGGCACUUUCCCAUUUUUGACCUUGCAAUACAUCGACGUGCGCAUUAUUAAUUGACAUGUCAUUCUGGAAACGUUUCUGUAUAAUGGGAGGCAAACAAAAAGGGAAGAAUAUCAGAUAACAUUAAGAAUAGCAAUAAAAUAGUGGAGCAACAGAGCAUGAGAGCAAUACUAACCCAGUCCUCAAAAGCUUCCUUGAUGAGUGAAACCAAAAGCACUAAACUAAGUGGAACCACAUUGGUGACAGGGUGGACUGGACUGCGAAGAUACAAGCAUGUAUGAACUAAGAUUUCUAGAAGUAAAGGUGAAGGAAAGCAAAGGAUGACUGAAUCAACUGAUGGACUUGAUAUGCUAAGAAGUGUCUAGCUGUAACAUGAGAAUUCCAUAGGGUGCAUGCAUGAGAGAGAGAGAGAGACCUAAUUGGUGUAGUCGACAAGAUUGAAAUCAUAAGAAAGUAAAGAUUUGCCACCCGUCUGAACUGUCAAAGCAAAAAAAAAAACAAAUGAAUUACAAAAGGUUCCUAUGGUCAAAUUGCGAUAAUACAGAAAGGGAACAUCUAAAUCGGUGUUACAGCUACCAUUGCAAAGUUUCUUUAUUCGAUAUGGAAAAAUGCAUUACAUGUUUAAUGUAUGAAGCCAUUGAAAUACUUUAAUGUACCUUACGUAAAAAACAGUGGAUAAUGAAAUUGCCAGAAUUAUGGUAUCGCAUAAAAUGAAGGUUACAUUGAGCGAAAAGCAUGAUCAGGGCUUUACCAAAUAACAAAAUCAUACUUCUCCUUUUCUCAAUAUAUGGCAUUUUAGGUUUCAUUGAAGACAAGUCUUUGAAAAGGAUUUACUUUGUGUUGUUUUUAAGGCAUGAAAUUUAUAUCACUAGAUUCAUCCUCAAAAGUACUUAAUGUGGAUUCAUAUCAUAUAAAUCACAUAUUAAUGAAGUAAUUCUUGGUCAAAGUCUUGUAUUAACGAAACCUAAUAUGUCCUGUAUUGACAAAAUGAGGGAGUAUAUUAUCUAACAGUGCAUGUAUACAGGCACGAUACUGGUAGCGCGUAUUACAAGCAAGGUAUCUUAAAAACAUUGCAACACAGUGCCAGACCAGGUAAGCAACUAAGCAUCUCAUGUAUCCACUAUUUUAAGGGAAGUUGAUCCAGAGUGAGGAAAUAAACAUUUUUAAGGAGAUAUAUCAAUUUGCAAUGUGAAAAUGAUACGGAGUAGUAUAAUCAUUUCACUGUGAUAACAAAUACUCCCUCCGUUCUAAAUACUUGUCGCUGUUUUAGUGCAAACUAAAACAGCGACAAGUAUUUAGGAACAGAGGGAGUAACUUCCAUUUACCGUUAGACAUGAUACAAAAUAAUAUGUUGAAAAAAAAUCUAGCCAAAAACUAAAAAACAAACAGAAAAUCUGCAUUAAACGAUGACAAACCCAGCAGGUAUGUUGAUUAACAAAAUAUGUAUGAACAAAAAACAACGCAUCAAUACCUGUUCAAACAAUCCUUUAGGUAGAAAUGUCAGCACACUGUACUUUGUAGUCGACACAGAAUUUCCCUGGAAAUGUAGAAUGAGAAUGUUAAAGAACUAAUUCUAGCAGAAAAACAAAGUAGCGCUCUGCAUUAGAAUCGCGAUGGUCUGAUACCCAACAUGAGGGAGAUUCUGAAACUAAACAGAAGAGCUAAUUGCAACUAGAAGCAUGAAAAAAGUAUAGCUUGAUCUUUUUACAACAUCAAGUCUGAAUACAUUCAAGCAUUUACACUAACUUGGAACAAAAUGUGGGUGUCAAAGAAAAUGCAUGAAUACACCUACUUACAAUAAAGCACCAAUUUUGCAGUGAUUGGACAAACUAUGGUUAAAAUACUUAAUAAUAGAGUUCUACGUAUUUGGAGGCAUAAAACGCAUUGCAGUUGGAGCAGUGGCAUUAUCAUGUUAGUCAGUCUAACAUGGCAGUGAAUGACGUGAAUUUUUUGCUAGUUUAGACCUCUGGCCAGCGCAAUUGACAAAAAUGCCCCCCUCUCAAAACUAAUGCCAAAAAUGGUCUGGCAGAAGGCCCGAAAGGCGCCACAUUUCAUUUUUCGCCAUCUGAGCUGCGCAUGCAAACAUUCCGACAACCUGAAAGGCGGAAAGGCCGUUCCGCCUACUGCAUUUGAUGAAUGCACCUGACAAGGGCGGAAGGUGAACUGGGCCCUGCAGAUGGAAGCAAUUUCCACAUUUGUUACAGACCUGGAAUCUUUUUUUUUGUUGGAGUCGACGGACCAUGUAUGUGCGGAUGCAUAGGAAUCGGCAAGCAGCCUAGCUGCUAGUUCACGGGCACGUUUUACAUUUUCUUUCCUCAGGUUUGGCUAGUGCUACCACGUUGAUACUAAUCAACGCUUCUUGUGAAUGGGCUUAGUUGCUUCUACUAGUCGUGCGAGCGUUAAUCUUUUCUCUGUGCGCCUGCAUGUGCGGGCGUGGGAAUCGGGUCAGGUCCCUGCAGACAGCACGCCUGGCUGCACUGGGCCUGCUUCAGCUUCCGCCCCUGAAAAUUCACUUUCGUCCAUUUCAACUGGAAACAAGUAGGCUCCACCUGUCCUGUUGGCGGAAAGUUCAUUCCUCCUACCCAGUGGCCACUGGGUCAGUUGCUGGGCUUUCCACCACGUCAUUUUUCAAAUUAUAUUUCAGAUGGAGCUAUUUUUGCCAAUUCCGUUUGACAAGGGGCUACAAGAGCAAAGAAAUUGAAUGACAUAGCAAGCAAUCAAUUUCCCCUUAUAGGUAAAUAAUAAACAGCUUUGCUUCAGCUUACUGUCAUCAGCUGGUGGCUGACUGCCCUGACCAAACACAAGUUCAGUAAUCUACACAGCAAGCGGCACACAGGUGCAGCUAAGCACAUGGAUGAACAGAAUAUUCCAGCCAUUGAGGCUCAGCUCUCGAAGCUUAAUGCCAGGUGGCAUCUACAUUGUAUUGCAGCCCGUAGCACCCUGAUUGACUAGUAACCCAACAAUGAGACAAGCUCUAAUCCACCCAAUGACCUCACAGUUGGCAAGAAAUGCAGCCCUUAGUGACACGCACCACCCUACAUAACUUUCUCGUGGACUAAUCAGUAUGAAUCAUAUAAACCCUCUGCAAGCUGCAGUGAAAUAAAACUACUACUACUGAACUAGCUAUUGUCCCAGAUGGCCAUCUCCAACCCAACCGCCCAAGCAUGAAACAAGGGGCCAGUUACGAGAUCUAGGCCUACAGACCCCUAGACCUUGAGACAACCGACCUGUUGAUCAUCCGAAUUAGAGGAGGAGGUGCACACCCGUACCUUGUACCCGACCGGCGCGUUGGCUUCGCGGUCGUUGCAGUAGAUGGUGCGCACGGUGGGUGCCUGCGGCUGCGGCUGCCGUCGGAGGCUGCCGCCCCCGCCGCCGAGACGCGCCGUCCUGGACGCCUCAGCGCGGCCGGCCUGAGAGGUCCCCCCCCGCGGCGACUGCUCGCCGCCCAGCCGCGCGGUGGCAACCCGCAUCAUCUCCUUUAUGCGCGAGCUCAUCCUGCCCCCCUCAGCGCCAAACCCAGCGCUGGAGGAGCCGGCGGGAGAUCUGGGGAAACCUCACGGUGGAUCGGAGGGGAGACCUAGUCGGAUUUGCGCGGCUUUCUGGUGGAUUUCAGUGCCUCGCUGAGGAGGGGAUUCGAUUUGGGUCACGCGUUCCCGUAUGUGCGUAUUUUUUCCGUGUAAUUUUUUUGUUUUGCCUUUUUCUUUUCCUUUGGCUCCGGGAGAAGAGAAGACAGGAGGGGAAGGAAAAGCGAAGGUCGCGACUUCGCGAGGAAGAAAAUGAAGGGAUUACUGCAGAUCACACCCUUGAUUAUUUUCGAAUAUGGAAAGCUCCAGUAACUGAAGUUUGAAAUUCCAGCCGCGUUUGUCUUUUCCUUCUUCGAGCAAACAACCGUGUUCUUGACUUGUUCUAUGUUUUUGCUGUCCGGAGGACUACCCGAUUUGCAAGUAAAUAAUGGCAUUAAUUUCAUAUAAGCACUUUAGGACACCACACUUGACAUGGUUUUCUACUGACGACGACUAUAUGGUGGCUUUGAUGUUCCAUGAAUAGAUCUUUUUAGCGGUGUUUCAAGUUCAGGUGUUAUAACAAAGCAUUACUCUUGACCUAUCUUCCCUUGCGACCAUGCUUUUUGAAUCGCCAAGUCGAGUCGAAUCGCCCCCCAACAGACUUGGAGGUUAGUAUGAUUAGUCAGAAACUAGUCUCGACUAAUCAACCCAAGUCGAGCCUAGUGAUCAGUGAGGUUUAGGGAGCUCUAGCAGGGAGCAUUAGAGGAAAGGAGUGAAUUGCAGUAGAGGGGAAGCACGAGGGAACAGUUUUUGUGGUGCUGGAGCUUGAAGAAGAGGUUCAUGGCGGCUAGGAUCUAGGAGUCGAUAAACUUAGAACGCCCGUGUUGAGGCAAACGCGUUGAGGAAGACGACUUCAAAGGUGGUUGGCUCAUUAUCAGGAUAGGUGCGUGCCUGGCAGCCCAUAAAGGCCUAUUAGAAAACCCUAACUCCCCCCUCCCCCCCCCCCCCACACACACAUUGCCUUCUUCUACACCACACACGCACCAAUGGCGGCCAUCUUCUUCCCCUUCCCUGCUGCUCCCCAUGCCUUCUCUCCCUCCCCGAAAAGAAAUAUCUUCCGAAAAUUCUUCUCUUCGAGUCAAGUUGAGGGGCUCGCGGCGUUCCUAGUCACGGCGGCUAGUCGGAGAAGUCGCGGUUCUAGCUGACGAGUCGCGCGACUUGCUCUGCUAGUCGAGUCGCGGCUGCAAGCCGCCAUCAUUGUGCUGGCUCGGCGACUAGUUGGCGAUUCAAAAACCAUGCUUGCGUCUUAUAAUUUUGUUUCCUCUUAGAUUUUUUUCAAUUAUGUAUGGAACUCUUUUAAGCUUGGCUAACAUAUUGGGUCAAUUUGUCUCCCAUUGAAAAAAAAACAAUUUCCUAUAAAAAAUAAAGUAUCCACAAAACAAUAUGCAUAGCGCAGUUGUUUUCAAAGUUGUGGAUGAAACUUUGUGUUGUACAGGCAACCACUUAAUAACUUGUUCGGUUGUAGAAUUCCCCGCAUGUAUUGAAGAGGAUUAAGAGAGAUCUAAGGAAAAUUGAUCUGCAAUUCGAUCAUUCCCUCUUAAUCCCCAUCGGAGUGGAAUCAACCGAACGGGGCUAAUGUGGACCAUAUCACCUUGAGGACUCCAUUCUUCUUUUAUGGCAACGUUGCAUGGACCUUGAUAUGAACGCACGUGCCUGCAAUCUCUAUUAUUUUUUCGUAAAUAGCAACUGUCCUUUCUGUAUCUUGUAAUAUGUUUUCUACAAUUUUAUUUGGGAUAUUUCGUCAAGAACCCAAAUCGAUUACAUUUUCCACUUUGGCGAAUGAGUCAAGAUUCUCCAUGUGUUCCAGCGAGGCAACUGCGAGCUACACAUGUAUGGUGAAACAAGCCUCGCAACUUCGUAAGUAACUCCAAAACUACAUCAGCACGUCUCUUGAACUUUGGAAACACACAGACGUGUUCCACGACCGUGAGGCGACGGAGUUAACGGGGCAGCGUUGCCGGAAAGACAAGAGUACCGUAACAAGGCCCAGACUGGGCUGCAUCGGCGUUCUGCCUCUAUUACAAGCGAGAGAUGUUGAACCGGCCAAGGUUAGGCAAGGCAGUCAGCGGGAGGAUUUUUUUUUUUUUGUUGUUGGUUUUGAAGAGGCGCGGGAGGAGAAGAACUUGCUUGACCAGCCCACAAGAUCGUGAACCGGUAUGACAUUGACAUUUUAUUUAGGGCCAGUAACGUGUAAUUAGAAGUACUAGCUUACAUCUCUUCCUUUUUGAACCGUCAGAUCUGCAACCAUAUCAUCUCUCCCCUUUGUCCUCUUCGCUAUGCCGAUUUUAGUGAAACGCCGCUGCCAAAUCUUCACAGGAUUGUGAACCGGCAGCAGCUUCGACCCUUCAAUAUUAUUAUUACAGCUAAAUAAAAGACUGAAAUUAUAGGUGAGGUCCUUUGUUCUAAUCGCCCAAGCGAGCAGAAGCCAAGAGAUUACGUGCAAGCAUAGCAUGGCCAUGUUCGCCAACUCAUGACAUAGUGGCACAGGGACUAACCACCUGGAUUACAUGGCUAGCUUCCAUAUAUGUGCAACAAAAUAUUGGUACCAGGCAGCCAUCUGUGCCACCAACCAUAAACUCCCUGAUCCCAAAAAAUACAAAAUACCAAGAGUUUCCACCCACAUCAGUACAAGUGCACAACAGUUUAAGAGACAAGCCAAGGAUCAUUCCCAGUUUGUGGGAAUAAAUAAGAGUCCGCAGCAAACAGAAAACUCAAAAUCGCUGGCAAAGUUAGGAUGUGGAAAAAAGAAAGGCUUAAAAUGAUCUAGCCAUGGCGUCAGAAUCUAUUAUCAAUGUUUCUCUCUCAAGGAUUUCCCUUCUAUAUAAAGUAUAAUAUUACAAAGGGGCUGCUUAAAUAUCAUGGACUCCUGGAAUGUAAAGAGGGUAAUAAUCAACACUACAUGAGCCUCCUUUUUCCUGAGGCUGCUUCCUAAGACUGACUGACUGCUUCCCCGAGGAUCCACAUACACCCUCCCCUCUCCUCAAGUUCCACCUCCCACCAUGGAAGUUAAACCCCCACCAUGGAUCCGAUGCUAACCAACUGUACGCGACCUGGAGAAAGUCAGUCAGCUUGGUGGUUCAAUCAAGACAGAGCAUCACGAUAUUGCCCAAAUGGUAUAAUUGGCAGGAUCAAUAAGUAGUUUAUGCUCGCAGCAAGAUCCAAAAGAACCAAUCUACCAUGACUAAUGUAUGACAAGAAUGAUGUCUUAUGUCUACUUUCAGAUACACUAUGGUCCAGGUGAAACAAUAUUUUAAAGUUUAGUAAUUACUGGCAGUAGUAGACAGACCACAGAAGUGUAAAGAUAUUUGCACACAUGACCUUUUAAUCCAAGGCUAACCCAACCUUGUAAGCUACGUGCUGUUUGUGCUAACGCUGCUGCUUGAAUGCAAUUAGACAGUGGUGAUGUCCUUGUUAGUCUGUUACAUACCUAAGGCAUCACCUCCUGAUUCUAGGUUUGCACCGGAACUCUGCUAAGAGCGCUAUGUGAUCUGAUGACCAUUCAGGUGAAGGAAGAGCAGUGUCUUUUCUUAAGCUCUCCUCAUCCAGAAGUUCCAACAAAGACUCCACGGUCAACGAAUCCGCUGAAACAAUAAAGGAAACAUGAUCAACUGACCAUAAUCAAACAUAUCACAAUACUACAAGCUGAUUCUGAAGCAAUUCCCAGAAGUCUAAAUACAGCAUACAGGUCAGGUACCUACCUGUGUAAAAUAUAUAAUCAACAGUUCCAGUGAAAUCCCUUGUGCAAUUUGUGAAAAGUGGUUCAUUUGUUCCUGGAUCCAUCCUCCUUCGCUGGUGCUCUAAAUCAUAGCCAACACCUACCAUUCUUGCAAAUGAAGAAUAUGCACUGACCUGCAAACAAGUAAACAUUGGUCAGAAUUUUAAAGGAAGAACAAGAUAGACAAGCUUGAUAGUUUUACUGUACCAGAGGAAGCUGGUGCGUCAACUUGCUCACGGGGCGUAAAAUUGAAAGUGGGUCUAUGGCCAGAUCUGGAUGCAAUUGAUCAACUUUGCCCACCGCAAGAAGCCCAUGUGGAGUACUGAAAGACAAAAGGAAGCACUUAGAGAUUUAAAGUUAGAAAAAACAAGUAAACCUGAAAAAUAUUGCUCCAAUAGAAUCUUGACAUGCACCUCCCCGGGAUUGAAUUGAAAUCCCCACAGACCAACAUUGGAAUGUCUGCACUGUUGGCUAUUUUCUCCAAUCCUUUUAGUAGUGUUUGAACCUGCAAAAAACAUACUUACUUUCGAUCUGAAUUUUUCAGAUGUUGCAGAAUGCUAGCCUACAGAGAAUGUGACAAUACUGACCUCCCAUAGUUUCACAUCUUUGAGGUCUUGGUGGACAUUUACAUGUGUAUUGGCCUGAAAUUUGAGAUCAUUUAAAAGAAUGAGACCUCCAUGACUCCAAGUAGCAUAAGCCUAGGCCGUAUGAACAAUGGGAAAUCUGUAGUAAAGUUGGCCUCAAAAUCUAGAGUCUAGAGAGCCAAGUCCCAAUCAUCCGCCAUUAACAUAUAGAUGUUUCCGUGCAUCUUAUGCUACUAAGGUCAUCCUACACAGAUAUAUGUUUCACUUCAUUCCUAAAUGUUGUGAGCAAAGAAGGAAAAGAAUCCAUAUGUUGUUCUGCACUAUGCUGCUAGCAGUUCAAUAGCUAAACAUACGGGAAAGUCCACUUUUGGCCCCUUAACUAUUGCCUCAGAUCAAAAUCAUCUAAUUUGCACCCUCAACUAUCAAAAGCAUCCAAGUUACAUCUGAAGGCAAUAUUUGUUAGAGGCUUUGUGUGAUGUGGCAUCCAUGUCAACGUGUUUUGCCACAUCAAUCGCUGCUGGGCAGUAGGGCCCACAUAUCAUGGCUGCCGUGCCCCUUCUUUCUUUAUAAUUCUUCCUCCUUAGCCAUGCCAUGGCCUCCUCUGUAGGCUAUAGCUUCCACUGCUGCUGCUACAGAUAACCCAUGUUUGACGUUGCAUAACAUCUUCUGAUUUAGAGAGGGGUAUCCUGACAGACAUGUACCAGUCUCCGCAAACCGCUGCACGGCUGCAUCCUGAGGGGAAUGGACAAAGAGAGGAUUAGAGAGGAAGGCUGAGGAGGGAGGCGUUUAGGGCGACUCCAACACGGCCACCCAAAUCGGACACAAAAAGUGUGUCCGUUUGGGUCUGCUGGUGCCCCUAACACGGUCACCCAUUUGGUCCGUUUUAUUAUUUAGUAUUGGCCACGGAUAGGCGGGCCAGGGCAAGGACAAGGGAGGACAAGCGCAGUGUCCACCCGCUGUCCGCCCAGACACAAACCCGGUCAGAUUUGGGUCGGCAAUGGGUUGAGCUGGACAGAAAAGCAGACAGCCGCCACACCGGACGAAAUGGGUCGCCGCGUUGGAGUCACCCUUAAUGCUAAGCUGGGAAAGAGGAAGGGAACAGAAAUAAGAGGAUGAGGACAAGGGAGGGAGAAAAGGGUGCUUCCAAAAAAUCAAUCCCAGGCAUGUGGGGCCUACUGCCCAGUGGAGAAUGAGAUGUCAAAGUUGCUGAUUUGGCGGCUACAUACAGAAUAUCACUCAUGAAACCAGCUUCUGGUCCUAUCGAACGGUUUCAUGAGUUGAUGGUUCAAUUUAGACCAGGCAAAAGUUGAGGGAUCAUAAUUAGGCUUUUCCAAACAUAAAUGAAUGUCAUGCUGUAAAAGUAGUGUUCGUCAUCCAGUAAACUGGUUCGAAUAUCCAACAAGCGCACAACUACUUUAUACACAUCUAAAGAAAGAACAGCUAUUUACAUACCACACAAAGGAGCUGCCUUUUACCAGGAGUUUCAGUUCCUUGGUUGCCAAAUUUUGCUUCUAAAACCGCAAUCAGCGCAAUAUUAUCCUUCAAAGCAAAUAGAACGUGUGAUAAAUAACAUCACUUUUUUUUGCGAAAAGUGAUAAAUAACAUCACUGUAGCAUACAUUAUUUCUUUUGAAGUUAAUCUUACUUUAAUCAGUCGACUUAAAGCCACUCUUUUCUGGGAAGCUGGAAUAAUAGCUUCUGUUAAAGACUGUGCAGCCUUAUUGAACUCAACCUACACAAGCAAGUACAAGUAUUAGAUAGCUGCAAAUAUCAAGCUGCUGCAAACCUGCAGUACAGGUACCUCGUAUUUUUUGACAUGUGAAAAUCUAUCUCUACGGAAGAAAGUAGCACAGCCAUCAAUGGCAUUAGGAACUCCAGCAUACACCUGUGACAACAGUAAAGUAAAAUCAAACAAGAGACAAAAGGUAUUAAACCAAAAUAUGAAGGAAAAAAUCAACCCAAAGAUACCUCUGUUGUCCGUUUCUUGUAAAGCGCCUGAUACCCAUGUUUAUCAAACUCAGGAGCAAAAAAAUCCUCAAAGUGGUUCAAUUGUACCUGAAAACAGUAGGACUUGGCUUAAUUCCCUCCUGUUACAAUCUUCGGUCACUCUUCGUUUUUAUUGUAAGCCGCUUCAGUAAACUCUUCAUAAUAUAUAUGCAGACAAUAUUCGUGAAAGUUUAAACAGCAAGCAAACUAUCAUAAAUUCAUAAUCCAACAUCACUGAAAAGUGAAAACAAUCAAACAAAGUGAUGGCACAAAUAUGGAAACGAACAGCCCAGCAGUAUAUGAAAGAUUGUAGGUUGAUGAACAGGGUUCCGGCAUUAAAGUUUACCGAGUCGCAAAAAUUAUAUGAUCAACCAAAUGAGACAUGCUCGGUUCCUAAAACAAAUAUAUGAGAUGAAAAGCUGAAAAUAGGUCACCAAAAUAAAUAAAUUCAGAAGAUAGCAAACAUAUGAUACCUCCUGAAGACAUAUAAUAUCAGCAUGAUAACCAAUAAUUUCGCGCAUCAAAUUUUGUCUUCUGUAAGUCCAUGAAAGUGCCCACGUUGGGCAGUAGCUAUAUGCAUCAGAUGUAGCAUAUGCAUCAGCAAGAAUAUUAUAGGACAGCACCGUGAAUGUCCCAAAAGAAGAAGUCUGGCUGUCUAUAUCUGAGUGACCCAAAACAUCUCCAUUCACUUGGAUAAGGCGGCGUGGAGUAGGAGUUGGUGCUGGAAUCACACGUGAUGUCAUAAUUGAAGUUGGAGACCCCGCAGGUACUUUCUUUUCCGUAUCCACCGCUGCACAUUCAAAUCUUAGAACAUGCCCAAUAUCAUCAGCAGUUGGUGUAUACGUCUGCGAGCGUCCCACUUCAAACCAUGUUUCACCCGAGUUCUUAUCAGUGCCUGAGGGAUACAAGGGAACAGGUCCAUUAUUAACUCCAGGGCUCUGUCCAAGAUUUGACAUUGAGCCAGACCCAGAACUUAGAAUCCCAGAACUACCGCUGCCAAAUCUACCAAAUAGCUCCUCCUCUUCAGCUCCAUUUUCAUUUAAAGCACUACUAGCUCGCUCAUGCAAAACCCUGUGGUGCUGCCAUGCAUCAGAGAAGCACUUAGCAGAACAAUGGUAGCUCUUAGCAGCAGGUAUUUUUGACUUGAGACAACCUAAGCACUGAAUUGUUGCUUGCUCCAUCGGAUGUACACUGCAGAUAGUAACUUUUCGAUCACUCUGUAUGCGAUACCUUCGAGCGAAAAGUCAAAUCAGUAUAACCAUGUGCUACUAGAUACAGAAAAAGUUUAGAAGAACAUGAUUGAAUAUAGUAACUACAAGAAAGGACACCUAAAUUGCCAAUGUUUUAGCAUGUAUGAGAUCCAGGAAAACUUGCUAUCAGCAUCUUGGAAGUCCAUUAUUCAGAGACAUUAGACUCACAACACUUCCAUUAUAAGCAUAGUAUGAAUAAGGCAAAAUGAAGCAGGUUGCCAAGAUGUCGCAAAAAAAAAGAAGCAAAUUACAAGUUUGCUUGUCAUGAGUUGCUGCUGCUGUUGUUUUUUCUUGAUUUUAGUCCCUCAACCGGCUAACUCGUGAUCAUUCAUCUCUUGCUUUCUUUACCAGAUCAACCAUGCAACUGAUUUCUUUAGCGGACCAGGCAAUAUAUGUAAUAAGCAAAAUUCUACAGUUUAGAUCAGAGAUUCAGAGGACUAUUGCAGGCUCUCAUAUAUCAUCAUUAGGGCAUGACGACCAGACAAGGAAGUUGCUGUGUAUAUUAUUAUUCCUAGAAGAAAAACAUUUAAGUACUGUUCAAGGAGGCGACCAACUAUAGCCCAGUGCCCACCCCAUCAAUCGAUUAGUGUCUUUCAGAACACUUCAUUUCAACAAUGUGUCUAUAAAUGGCCACACUUACUAUACUCAAACCUCAAACCUUAAAAGUGAAUAAAGAUGCACAUAUCACAUGAGAUUCUAUCAAGCUAAUGACUGAAAAGCAACACAAUGAAAAUAUAAAAAACUAUAGAAUUGAAGGACCAAAACCAAUGAAACUGCAUGAGUGUUAGUGGGACCAAGCACCACCAUUUCGAAAAGUUCUAAGGUCUAAAGUCUCAGCAAUAAAUGCUAUUUAAACCUACAUGACAUUAAAAAAACGGAUGUGAUAAAACAAAUAAAUAUUCACGAACAUGAUCAAUCAUUCAGAGCGGGAUUCUAAAAUUGAUCACUGAAAUUGUUCGGCCACCCAGCUAUUAGUGAUUAUACAGCCGAGCUAGCUCAUUGCAGUGGGUGGCAUAACCAGCGGUUACAAGUUCUUUUCUCUCAUAUUUGCCUCUCCAUUUUUCAUUUUUUUAUUUCCAAAUAGAUCUACAAUGUUAUUUGAAUUUUAAAAAUAAUAGGUAGGGCACUCCUUACAUACAUGACCUCCUAGGCCAUUUAAAACAAAUAUGCAUUGUUUGGGGUUUUUUAUAUAACAUAAAGUAAGUUAACUAUGACACACUGCCAAAAUAUUUUUGCAUAAAAAACAUUAAAUUUGAUAUAGCACAGAAAGAACGUGGAUAUCCAGCAAGAGAUUAAAGAAGGCAAAGUGGGGCAGGCAGUCAGCAAAACAAAACUAGUGGAUCACGAGUUUCAAACUUUUACUAGCUUUAAGCAACUGAAAUAACUUGCCACUGAACCUAGUGAGCCAACAACUCUAACGUGUAAUAGCAAACAAGUAAUAAUUCUUUUGAAGCUCCAGAAUAAUCAAAACUGAGUCUAGAAUCAAGCUAGAAUGCCCAUUUGAGUUCACUGGUGAUGUUAGAGUGAUACUUAGUUCAAGGAGUAUAUCCAGAUACCCCAAUCAAAAAAAUCAUCUGAAGCCAUGCGAACAAACUGAUGGCACUUCUAGAAUAGUGUCUUUCCACAAAAUUAGUUAGAUAAGCCUAUGUAAUCCCAAAAUUUAUAAAAUGCUCCCGUUCCAUCCAAGAUGAACGUAAACAUUCCUGCACAACGAUUGGCAACAAUCCUCAACCCAACAGCCUUCAUCACCAUCCUAUGAUGCUAUCUAACACUCAAUAGUUCUAGCAAAACCAAAAUCAGAUGGUCUGUUUUGCUCAAUGAAUUACUUAUUAUCAUUACCAACCCGUGUGGCAGGUUGAUAUGGCAUAGACUAAAUAGUAUGAUUCAUAAACAGGCUUAAAAUAAUGCAAUACUGAGUUCUUUACCAAAUCAAGCAUUGGCAUUUCAUGUUCCCUGGGUUUCCAUUCGUUCCAAAAACAAACAACUGUCUUGCUAGAGAAAAUCAUGCUCAGAAUUCAUAUAGUUGUGCUUCAUUUAUGCAAGAAUCAAGACGAUUCAUGAGUUUAGCAAGUAGUUAAGCAUCUAGCAAACUGAUUGAUACUUAAAGCCCCCAUUUUCUUUUUUUCUUUUUUGUCAAAAUUCACUUGUAGCAACGCACAAGCGGAACUAAGCAUUCGAAAGUGUAUAUCCUAUUGAACCAAAAGUUGCAAUCACGAGCUGCUCACUCACCAUCUGUAUCGCAUGAAGUGGCCAUCAACAGGCGCGGCCUCAGGCACGUCGUCGGUGGAGAUUACACCGUUGGGCAGCCGCAGCAGCACGUACGGGGUGAUUUCGCACCCCACGAUCGGGAUCUCCGACGGCAGGUGCACCCGCACCACGCUCAGCAUCCUCCACUCCUGCUCCCCUCCCCUGCUCUCCUCUGCCCAGCCCAGGGGCGGAUCUAGAUGGUGUGCCGGGUGGGCACCGGCACACCCAAAAUUUGUGGACGCUGCGAGGACGGCGGAAGGCCAGGGCGACGUCGGGAGAGGAGGGGAGCGCCGCCGUCAAGGGGACCGGGAGAGCGAGACAGGGUUAGGGUUGGUUGCCUGAGGGUAUUUUUGGGCAUUUCGAAAAUCUAGAGUUGUGUCCAGCGCAUUUUUUUUCUAAACUAGUAUUGCGUAAGCGGGACGGAGUGGUAAUGUUUGUGCAAGACAAGAGAGAGCCGGAGAGGAUGACAUGUUUUUUUUAACGAUAAUAUUAAAAACUAGUCAAAUGUCCAUGGGACAAACUCAUAUGCGAUACUCACCGCAUUUGUAGUUAUAGAUUAAUACCUUUUCAUAGCAGUUUGCAGAGAUGGAACCAUGAAAGGCGUUGCAGACGUAUAAUUCACUCGCUAAAAAAUCCAUAUUGAGAAAAUAAUUAUGUACUUGAUAGACUCGGUCUCACGAAGUUCUGGUAAGAAGCCGGUUCGGAGGGACAAAGUUCCAGAAAGAUGGCCGCAAUGUCACGCACGACCAGGCGAAUUUGUGAUAGUUUUUUUGUUAUGAAAAAGCAAAGUAUAUGUGAUCGGCAUGCGACCUUGUGGAUUGGGGUUGAAAGUGUUGGACUGCAGUGUAUACCUUCAACCCACCACGUCUUGAUUUAAAGGCCAAAUCAACGUAGGAUUCGGACUCCUUAACUAAAUACGAUUAGGAUUCCCUAUCUAUGUCGGAUUUGGUCUCCUAUUCUGUGAUUGGCAAUUGGGAAUUUAGACAUUAAUCCAUAGCUUCUCCAACUCUUUAGUGAUUGAACGUAACGGUUGGUACAAGCUAGGCUGGGCGCGAUGGGCUGAGGCUGAGGCAAACCAACCAUGGACCUCGUACCGUUUAGAUUGAAAAAAGGACAUGUUUUUUUUUGUUUAUCGAUCAGGACGGACAGGCGCACGCACGAGGGUGAGUUGGAGGUUCAGAUCGGUUGGGCUUAGUGGAAGUUUUAAUGAAAAAGGCCUACGGACGUUCGCCAUCACCACCGAUUGUAAUAUAAUAGACAUUGUAGAUUAGUUAUGAUUUGGACCACCGGGCACCGGAACCCAAGCUGCUCAAUUUUGGCAAAAUUUGCAGAAAGCAAACUCAAACCCGAUGGCUCCUAUGUAGAUGGGAGUGAACUCAGAGUAUUCUCAUCGUGUUGCUACAAAGCUUUUCUUUGAUGAUGUUCCCUCCGUUGUGUUUCCCUUGCGUGCUCAAGGACACAAUGUUGUGAUUGAGGAAAUUGUUGAUGACCCUAGCUCUGCCAUCUUCCGUCCGUAAGUGAGGGCACAAGCAGCGCGUUGCUACUCCAGAAGUAACUUCAGGUCUGUGCCAUAGUUCAUGCUCUACCAUGUUUAGAGGAUUCAAGUCCUAGCUUGUUUCUGAUGUGCAGAAGAAACAGUCCAAGUGUCGAUGUUAUACAUUGUCAGAAUAUGAUUCGGGAUAGCACACGACCAAGGAUUACUACUACUCUUGAUGGCAACAGUCUACGUGUUUAUCAUUUGUUGGAACUCCAAGCACAAAGUGAUGUAACAAAGGGUGUUUUCCCCCACAAGUGUUUUACCCCCAACAAGCACCACAAUGGUUGUCAAUCACAAUGAUCACUAUACAGAAUCACUUAUUUCUGACGCGUUAAAAAACUUCUAGUCUGACGCAAAUGGGACGUGUCACUAAUCAAGUGUCAAAGAUGACUCGGGAACUUCUGACGUGUCAACAAGCGUCAGAAGUAGGAAACCCUAAUGACGCUUCUUGUCGAUUGUUAUUAGAGACAAGUAUCCUCAUGUCGGGUGAAGGCCAUGUUUGUUUGAGCUUCUGCUUCAGCUUUUGGUGGUUCUAGCUCUCUAAAAAGCACUGCUUCCGUUUACACAUGAAGCUGAGAAGCACGUCGUGAGGUGCUUCCCUCCAGAAGCUGCAGGAAGCACCUCCAGACGUGCUUCUCAGCUUCAUGUGUAAACGGGAGAAAUGCUUUUUAGAGGGCUAGAAGCAGCAAAAGCUGAAGAAAAAGAAAAAGCCCAAACAAACAGGGCCGAAGAUGAGUAAGAAGAUAGAGGGGCCUCACGGUGAUAUCUACUCGUGUAAGAUAGAGAACUCGGCGAAAGACAAGGGUUUAUACCGGUUUGACUUGCUCCUUUUCGUGAAAGCAAGCCUACGUCAUGUUGGUAAUCUAAUAUUUGUGUAUGAUAUUACAAGGUGUGUUCUGCCCAUCGAGGGCGCCUAGCCCGCUUUAUAUAGUCAAACAACUAGGGUUUCGGGUAGAGCCGGGUACAACUUUUACAUGGACUGUACCUUCCUAAACUAGUUAGGAUUCUUCCUUUACAAGAUAUCUACAACUAGUAUUUCCUAUUACCUGAACUAGGCUUCCUUCUUCAAUACGACAACUUCCUUGACCGAGUGAUAGGGGAUGUCUGGCUUGUGCGCUGAGUCGACUUUCUCUGUUCAGUCGUCUCUCAGCUACCCGGCUAGAAUAUCCUCGUCAUUAGCCCCGAGUACAAUGUGGAUAGGGGGGAGCUGAAUAAUGCCAUCGUCGUCAAUCUCGAAUCUUUCUCGUUUCAUGUGCUUUUCUUGAGUUGCUUCUUCUUGAUUUUAUUCCGACCUCAAAUCCACAAUGUACUUCUCUAUGACAGCUUGAGGUUCGAGCUCAUGGCUUCUUAUGCAUAAAGUUCAGCUAUAAGAGCAAACCAGCUUCUAUGUGGCAUGUGUUAGCAUUGCAGCGAUAUUAGCUCCUGUUUUGAUUUGUGUUUUUUCCUUAGCUGUAGCGUUGCUUUGAAUUAAUUAGCAACUACGUCGUGCAUGUAAAAAAAAGUGAGUUCCAACAAAUCUCUGACGUGCGCUAGAACAAGAGGUCAGUGAGCAUCAAAAGUAUACUGACGUGGCGACACAAGGAAGAGCUAGGAAAUUCCUCGUGAACAAAGUUGACGCUUCCACAAAGGAAAGAGUCACAUCAGCUAGAAUCUCCUUCGACGCUUACGAAGUAAGGAAGCGUCAGUAGAAAUGAAGAGUCAGAAGUGUGGAAGUUCUCCUACGCUUCUCCGAGGUAGGUGUCAGAAAUAUCUUAUUGACGCUGCCUCGUGGAUGCUACCUAUGACAGUCCUUAUAAGGAGCCGCAGAGAUAAGGAUUUGCGCUGACGCUUUUUAGUUUUGUGUCAGUGGGGAGCUUGCAAGAGUAAAGUCUAUAGUAGUGAGUGUAAGGCUAAACUUUAAAUAAACAAAUAAUAACUUUAAGUAAACUAAUGCAAAACAAUAAUUUAAACUAACUAGAAGAUGCAAUAACUAUAUAAUAAAUACUACUACUUAUUAUGCAACUAAAUAACCAAGAGAGAAUGUUUAAAUGGCUUUUUACAAGAUAUCUAAAAAAAAGCAAUUAAAUAAAUGCAAAAUAAUUGUAACAGAGGUGUUUCUUAUGAUAUUAAAGAGGACCAGGAUACUCUUUGCGGCAUGAAUAUAGCACAUAGGACAAGUUCAUUUACUUUGCAAUGUUUUUAUGAAGUGAAUGAUAAGCAUUCAUAUGGACAUCACGUCCUAAUAUUGAGAAUAUGCAAAAUAUCUCACUAAUGCUCCCUUGGUAAGUGACUCAUCAAACUAGAUUAUUGCUUUAGGUACUUUGACAUGAUGUUGAACUUUAAUGCAACUUUGAGCAAGCAAGACCACCAUUGUUGUCAUUUGGUAGCAUAAUGCGUAUUCAUUUAUCCCUAGCGGGUCAAAUCACUGAAAGGUGAAAAUCAUAGUGGUUCCCAAAAUUUUUGUCACUAUCCGGUUGCCACUACCAAUUGCUCUAUCUAAUACACACAUCCCCACACAUGCACAUGUAAACUAGUAUGAUUAGUACAAGUAAGCAAGAAGGGAUAGACAUAUGCAUCUAUCAAUACAUCAAAACACAAUCCAAACAUUGCAAACUCAUGACUCAUCUCAUAACAAAAGGUUCACCAAUAAAAAAUAUAACGAUGAUCAUAAUCAUGAUAGGAAACUCGUAUGAUUCUAUUACAACCCAUAGCCCAGCGAGGACUACUCCCUCAUCAUAUUGGUGAUGAUAGAGAAUAUGUUCAAGGAGAAGGAGAGGCGACCGAUGGUAUUUUCCCUUCUAAUCUUGGAUCAAUCUGAUGUUGUUUUUUUUCUUUCCGAGUCGUUGUGCUAUGCAAGCGCAAAGCACGGGGUAUUAAUAAAUGGUUUUAGGUCAAGACGAAUCUUCGGGUGAAAGAAUGCACUUGCGGGCGGCCACUCGGGAUAAAAAACAACCAUGGUGAAUUAUGAUAAUCUAGUUUUUUCGACUACUACCUCUGAUCCUAAAUUGUUGUCGUGGUUUUACUUCAAAUUUGUACUAAAACCACGACAAGAAUUAAGGAUCCGAGAGGUAGUUUUUACCUAUUUUUCAAUUCGGCUUACCUAUUAUUUUCUAAUUUUCUUUGUAUGUUUUGACAAAUUCAGCACACUUCAGCAACCCAAACUGAACAUUAGUCCCGUACAGGAUUCCAGAGUGCGUUGUACGCAUGUGUUAGUAUAUUCCUAAGCAAGCAAGAAAAAAAUAAAAAGAAGCAAAUAGUAGCAACUAUCGGUUGAUCCCGGCCCUGGGCCAGGACAAGAAGGGCGACAGCCCGGGCCCGCCCAAUCCAGGGGACCAGAUCAUAUGUGUAUACGCUAGUAGAGAUACAUGUCCAAAUAUUGAUUAGCAUAAAAGAAAGAGGAAAAAAGCUAGAGGCCCAGCAGAUUGCUCCGCUCCUGGCCAACCCAGGACGUAUCAACGUGCUCGAAAAUUCCCCUUGGCACCCGGUAUCCAGGCCUAUGUGUAUCUCAGCCGACCAAUUUUCCAUCCUACGGCUCCAUCCUGCAGCUCCUGUCGUCCGGCCCGUUUAAGUAUACAAUUUGCUAUUCUCCCGUACAGGCGGUAUUUGCACCGGUUGGCCUGACACAUCCUUUUUUAUAUUGCGUUUCCCAGGCUGGCUGGCCCAAGUCCCACCUCGCGCAUUGCUGGGUGAGCACAAGUCCUUUUCUCCCGCUGCAUACCGUGGCACAGGUCUGCCCUUGAGACAUCGCAUUAAAUUUCCAUCAGUCCCAUUUUUUUGGCCCAAGAUUUCUGGGCAGGCACAGGUCCACGCCAUUGGGGGGGCGGUGGCGCGGCUGGCGAGGCCGACGUCGCGGCUGUCGAGGGUGCCUGCCACGGGCGAUGAGUCACCGAGUCAGGCUUCGGUGCCCAGAGCUGAAAAGCGUGCCGCGGUAGACGAUGUUGGGCGCCUUAAUGCCGUGCUCGGACACGAUUCGGUCGGGGACGAAGCUGUCAGUUCCCGCGCAUAGCUCAUCAAGGCUGUACUCUGUGAUCAUCGGCACAGCACUGUCGUCUUCCCCAGUUUCCCCAUUCUCUAUUUCUCUACACAGGGAAAGCAAACAGCAAGGGGAAGAGCAUCCAUCCUGUAAAGCAACGAGCUGCCGGCGAUGGCCUUCUCCACGACCGCGGAGCAACGCAGCGCCGUCCCCGUGCCUUCGCUGGAUGCCCGCUCGCAGCUCCGUGAUGGACCGCUUCCGCACGAGCACCGCCCGCCCGAACGGGUCGUGCGCGUCGGCAAGCGCGAGGGCCGAGGGACACGUUGAGGUGGCCAAAGGCCGGGUCGCUAGGGAAGAACUCCGAGCUGCAGACCGGGGGCGCGGGGCAGGGACGGAUGUUCGGGCAUCGGCCGGACCUCCUCCGUUGGCAGCUUCCGCAGGCGAGGAAAACUUGAGGGGCAACGGCAGAUAUUUGGGAUUUGACGUGGGUAUUGGUGCUCCGAUCUUUCCAUCAGAUUGAUAACUCUCGAUUUGGGUUGAAGAUGACGUUUGACGAUCCGACUACGGUCUAAAAGACAGCGCCUUAGUAAUCAAUACACCAACUACAGAGAGUUAUUGAUCACGCGGGGCACGAUCAACCUGACCACGAAGGUUUUUAUUCCUGCAAGCAAUCGAAAAACAAGCAAGACCAAGAUAAAUAGUGGAUGCAAUCUGAAAUUGCGAAUAUACUAUAUCAAACCAAUGUCUCAAUGAGACGAUAAGUUGGGAUUUCGAAAGUGGUAAAGCAGGUGGUCUAGCCGACAUAGACGAUUACACGAAGUUGUAGCGAUGGCUAACUUUUAACUAAACAAAACCCAAGUCUCCAUAGGGAGGCUAGUGGGGUAUAUAAAAGAGGAGGGAGAGAGAUUUUCGCCCACCUUGAGUAAGGAGGCCGAAAUCCAAAUCUAUUUCUAACUUUUCUAACAAACUAUAACUCUUUAGGAAACAAAAAAACAGAUCCGUCAUCUUGUUUUGUCUGCCACGGCCAGCACGCGUCGAAUCUCCUUGUGGGGUCAAAUCUGUUGGAAAGGUCUUGUAAUUACCUUUCCAACAAGUACUUGUUUGCUUGAUUUGGACUCUGAAUGCGGUCUGGGUGAUUAAAACAAAUUCGGAUCUCCUGACAGCUCGGACCCGAAUCGGAUUCAACUUUAAUUCGUGAUAUCUUUCACUAGCAAGCUCCGAACCAUGUGCCGUUCGAUUUGUUGGAAAGUAGACUUGAUAGGCUUCACCUUGCAUCUCCCGUUGCAUGCUAUCGCACCUCAUCUUCACUUUGGAUUUGAAAAGCUCGACCAAAUAUCUACAUAAUAAAAUGAUACAAGAUAGUAGCUCUGCCUCUUCAUGCAUAUGGCAUUGAAAACAAAUAGUACUUGACUUCACCUGAUUAUAAAAUGUUAUCGAAUACUCUAGAACUGAGGGUGCCAAAGGUUGUAUCUAUGGUUAGCAUGUCCAUAUCAUCUUCCCUUUCUUGAAACAAAAGCCGUCCUCGGUGUCGUUUGUGCUGAAAAGAGACUGACAAAACAGACAAAGUGUGUGCAUGGGUAUAUGUACAUGUCAUCCAUCUUUAUACAUCUCCUUUCUUGCACAAUUAAUGUUUUAUAAAAAAAUCUCAUGAGAUAAGUAGUCAAACAAUCAUCAUGAAUUACAUUCCAGCAAGAAGAUUGACAAUAUGUUUUGCAUAUAUAAGUGAAACAAUAUCUUAUACUAGUAAAAAGCCCGUGCUUUGCUACGGAAGAAGACUUUCUUUUAAAAACAUGCUAUAGGUUAAUUUUCAAAUAGUCGGCUGACUUGGGCUUGCGGGGCUGCGGCUUGGGCUGAAAGGUGGAGAUGGGGUUGGUGGGCCUGAAGGGGGCUCGGGGUUGCUGGGUUGCUGUGGGAUCGAGGCAGCGGGGAGGUUGAAGGCACGGGAGCAAGGGGAGGCAGUGCCGGCGAGGUGGACGAUGGGAGCAGCACGCGAGGGUGCUGGGCUGCCACGGUGACUGGAGCUUGGCGACAACGUUGGCGGAUUGCAGCAGCGAGGGAGAGGAGAAGAGGGCGCAACGAGUAAUGAAGGCAGGAGCGCCAGAGAGAGGAGGCGGCUAGACAGAGGAGAUCGGGAGGGAGAAAGGAGCUCGAGGGGAAAGAUGAAGGAGCAUAGGGGAUAUCGGGGAGGACCGGCUGCCUGGUUGGGUGGACGGGCAGGACAAGAAAAGGGGACGAGAGCGAGAGGGAUAGGGUUCGAGGAAGCCCGCAGAGGUUAGGGCUCGGGGGUCAGACGGAUGUUUUUCGGGACUGGGGAUAUGCAGUGGCAUAUUGAGCGUAAUUUUAAUGGAGUGACGUACCGCGACACCUGUACCAUCACCACCAACUCCAAUUUAAUAUAUUUGUAUAGAUUUAGUUUGCACCGCUCACCAUUAUACCAUCCCAACACUGGAGAAUAAUAAUUAAUGGUACCCAAAUUAGUUACUACAAGAUGCUGAAAUUUAGAGCAAGUCAAAGCAGUAAUAUUCAAACAAUCGUGUAAACAACUAUUUGGCAAAUAAUCAACACCAAUAUUGGAGAUCAUAUCAAAAUAGUUAAGCAUAUGCAAGAAUUUAUUUUCUCCCAAGAUAGUAAAAUUAUCACAAGUAAUACAAAUUUCAUGUACCAAAAAGUUAUUAUUCACAUCAUGUUCUCCAAUUAGUUGAAUAGUGGAUCCAUGAACAUUAGGAAAAGAUUUUGAAAUUGUUAACUUGGACACUUUUUCCAUUGCAUAUGAUAAAUACAUAUGUGUAUCAAGUGUAAUAUAACACAAAGAAUUAAUAGGUGGAUCCUUAUGAAUCACUCCAUGUCUAAUUAACUCGACACAACCUAAGCCAAAUUUAUCUAUCUCACAUGUUUCUCCCAAAGCAUUAGUUCUGUCCUGACAUGAUUCAUGCUCAUCAAUAUCAAAAUUAAUAUGUGCACUAAAAUCAUUAGAAAAAUUAAUUUCAGCACUAGGUGUACUCAAAUCAGCAUGUAAAUCAACAAUUUCACAUGGUGCAGAAAAUUCACCGAGUAUCUCAUUUAUUUCAUCACAUGUCAUAUUUAGUUCAGGAACACAAUCAUCUUUACCAUUACCUUGUGGUCUCGACUCAUUUGUAGUAGACCUUCACUGUAAUUUCCUCUCAACUUCACGAGCAAGAUUAAGCAAACACAAAAAAGAGUCGUAUUUUCCAUAUUCAAUUAUGUAAGAAAUAUCAAAGUUAAGCCCACAAUAAAACCUAUCCAUUUUUGUUUGUUCGGUUUCAUCUAAACCAGAUCGCAAGGUUAGAAUUUGGAACUCCUGAUAGUAAUCAUCAACAGUUUUAUCAUCUUGUUUCAAACGUCGUACUUUUGCACGCAAGUUACAAGCAUAACUAAAAGGGACAUAUUUUUCUCUCAUGAUUUUCUUCAUAUCAACCCAAGUGUGAGGAAUUUUCUUUUCUCUAACUAUCUCACUCCACCAAGAUAAAGCAGCAAAAGUAAAUUUACUACUAGCAAUUUGGAACUUGCGACUAUCAAGUACAUGGAAGCAUGUGAAUUGUUCAGUUAAAGCUAUCUCCCAAUCUAUAUACGUUUCAGCAUCAUUUUCCCCCUUAAAGAAAGGUACACACAAUUUAAUUGUAUUGGAAGGAUUGUUUCGUACCGUUGCCGUCGCAUUGUCAACAAAAGACGUGGAGGAUGGCCAUGGUGAAAAGCACUCAUCGCGGUCACGGGAUUGCAUCGGUCUAGUUCCCAUGCUUCGUGUAAGUCCUGUCAUUGUUAGUAGAAAACAAGAAACAAAUCACAGUAAUAUGUUCCUAUCAACUAAUAGGAUGUGGCUACAAGUCGUUCAACUCUCAAGCUAAAAAUCAAGUUCUUACAAGUUCUUACCAUGCAACAAGAAGGUGAUGGCCAGCGGCUUGACCAAGCCCCUCCGAGGAUUAAAUGUAUCAAUGCCUCGGUAACAAACCAACCUAGGUGUAGAAUCUGUGUAGCUUGGAAGCUUUUGUGAGUAGCAAGGAAUAGCAAAUAAUCAAACAGCAAUGCAAAGUUGAAAAUAUGCUAAAUAAUGCUAGUCCUAACUGCUGGAGUCGAUAAUAACGAAUUACAGAAAUAAUCUAAGCCUAGAUAGUGAAGAAGGUAGGAUAGAAAGAUCAAAAUAAAGGUAAAACAACUAAAUCUCUAGGAUUUUUCUUUUCUUUUAUUUAUUUAUUUAUUUAUUUUUGUGGCCUUCUGUUUGGCUUCUUAUUCUUUUCUUCUUUUUUUAUUUUUUUAAUCCCAGAAACUCAUGCAAAAGAAGUAAAGACCGGAAAACUGCACGUCGGUCUGUCGAAGAACAGCAAAGGGUGCUGUAAGAAAAUGUCAGAAAAAUAUGGAAAAAUAUAGGUUAGGAGCGUAUCGAAACAAGCUUUCCAGGAAGUGCAAGAUCACUCAAAUCGGAGGCCGGACGAUGGAGAUAACGUAAAAACACCGGCCUGCAGCGAUGCCGGAAACCGGAUGCAGAAACUUGGAAGCUCUGAAAGUCCACCUUACAAACCGAGUUUGAGGGUCAAGGAGUCAGUGCGAUGCCCUGGAUAUUUUCUCGUGCGCUUCGUCAUGAGCUUUCCAGAAAGUACUAGAAGGUCCAAAUCUGAGUUGGUGACCGUUUUACUGAACACGGGUCAAACCCACUCGAAACUAUAAUUCUCCUGAACGUGGAUCUGAAACUGAUUCUUUUUCUCUCUCUUUUUUUUCAUUUUUUUUCCUUUUUUUUCCUUCCUUUUCUUUGCUUUUUUUUCACAACUUUCCGAACAACUUGAUCUCUAAACAAAAUUCGAUCUAUUAUGAAACACUUUCCAAAAGCACUCUCGAUUGGACUCGGACUCGAACCCGGAGAAGGACUCGGUGUAUGACUCGAUGGAAGAUUAUGGCGUGGCGGUGGUGUGGCAGGGAGUUUGGCGGCAGAAAAUUGAGGAAGGAAACCUGCGUCACACGAAGAACAAGAAAACCAAAAGCAAGUUCGAUCUAGUAGAAAAAGUCUGAAAAACGAUCCAAUCUAAUCCAGCAACUCGACACGAUUAAUGCAGCAAAGGUUCAACAAUGCAAAUACUAAUGUGAAAAUUGCAAGGCUCAGAUUGGUUUUUGGGACGAAGGUAAGUAAUCUCUACUUUUUUAUUGUCUUUUUCUGGACUAUAGGUAAAACAUAUCUAAACUAUGGAAAAAUACCACGUGAUGUGGGUCGGGGUGGCCCGAUAUUUCGAUGAGAUUGAUAACUCUCGAUUUGGGUAGGAGGUGACGUUGACGAUCCGACUACGGCCUUGAAAGCAGCGUCUUAGCAAUCGAUACACCAACUCCAGAGGGUUAUUGAUCACGCGGGGGCACGAUCAACCUGACCACAAAGGUCUUUGUUCCUACAAGCAAACGAAGAACAAGCAAGAACAAGAUAAAUAUCGGAUGCAAUCUGAAAUUGCGAAUAUACUAUAUCAAACCAAUGUCUCAACGAGACGAUAAGUUGGGGUUCCGAAAGCGGUAAAGCAGGUGGUCUAGCCGACACACGCGAUUACACGAAGUUGUAGCGAUGGCUAACUUUUAACUAAACAAACCCAAGUCUUCAUAGGGGGGCUAGUGGGGUAUAUAAAGGAGGAGGGAGAGAGAUUUUCGUCCACCUUGAGUAAGGAGGCCGAAAUCCAACUGUAUCUCUAACUUUCCUAACAAACUACAACUCUUUAGGAAACGGAAAAACAGAUCCGUCAGCUUGUUUUGUCCGCCACGGCCAGCACGCGUCGAAUCUCUUGUGGGGCCAGAUCUUUUGGAAAGUUCUUGUAAUUACCUUUCCAACAAGUACUUGUUUGCUUGAUUUGAACUCCGAAUGCGGCCUGGGUUAUUAAAACAAAUUCGGGUCUCCUGACAGCUCGGACCCGAAUCGGAUUCAACUUUAAUUCGUGAUAUCUUUCUCUAGCAAGGUCCGAAUCAUGUGCUGUUCGAUUUGUUGGAAAGUAGACUUGAUAGGCUUCACCUUGCAUCUCCCGUUGCAUGCUAUCGCACCUCAUCUUCACUUUGGACUGGAAAAGCUCGAUCAAAUACUUACAUAAUAAAAUGAUACAAGAUAGUAGCUUUGCCUCUUCAUGCAUAUGACAUUGGAAACAAAUAGUACUUGACUUCACCUGAUUAUAAAUAUUAUCGAAUACUCUAGAAUUGAGGGUGCCAAAGGUCGUAUCCAUGGUUAGCAUGUACAUACCAGGCUUGCAGUACGAUGCCCGGAGCUGGGGGAGAUGGCGCUGCACAUGUCGUAUCUGAAGGAGGCGGCGAUUGAGGUGAAGAAGACGGUGGGGGAUGAGACGGUGACAGAUGGGGAAGAGAGGUAGAUGAGGGCGAUGAAGGGAAUAUGCCCUAGAGGCAAUAAUAUUGUAUUAUUAUAUUCCCAAGUUUGUAAUUGAUGUUUAUAUUUCUAUGCUAUAAUUGCAAUGGUUCUUGAACGUGAGAUUCGGAGGAAAACUCAUUUGCAUGUGUGGAAACAUAAACCCUAAUUUAAAGGUCCCUAGUCACGCCUCUUUGACUAGCUUAUAUAUAAUUGAUGAUUCUGUUUUCCUGAUCAUGAGCAUACGAUGCUGGUUAUAUAUGAGAGCACAUUGUUGGUUGAACAAUGGUGUUGGAUUGACCCAACUAAUGAUAUACCGAGAGAUCACAUCGAUUACUUGUUAUCGGUAUUAUUGUUAUUGUUGUAAUUAUCAUUAUCCUUAGACCAUGAAAAUAUCGUAUGAUAUUUAUAUCGGAAGGAUAAUUUGGGUGUUACUUAUUGUUUCCCGUAAUAGGGUUAUCAUGACGGUGAUUUCCGGGUACUCCGGAAAGUACGAAUUGAUUCGAUAGUUCAAGAUUGGGAUUUGCUCCUCUAUCGGUGGAGAGAUACACUAGGGCCCACUCGGUACGAAGAUAUCUAUCACCGUCUGGCCAGACACAAGAAUGAUAUGAUCAUUGAGAUAUCGGAGUACGGAAUGAGUUAAAAGUACAAAACCGGUAACGGGGAUAGCUAGGUACAAGUGGAACAAGGGUUGGUUCACGGGCGUACCGGAAGUCUCACCCCGGGUUUUGUAAACGUAUCGUGAAGCAAAGGGAAAUGGUUUUUAGUAACAAAUGGUUCACUUGAAAGUCUUCGUGUAUGUGUAGUAAUUAUUGAGAGUGUCCAGGCUCUUUAAAUAAUUAUUGACUGGGUCAUAGCUACACAUUUCCCAACCUAGGCGGUCAGACGCUUAACGACGAAUGGUUAUUUGAAGGUCUAAAGUUUGGAAUUUGGUCAAGAGUUGAAUACUGAAGUUGUUCAGAAUGACGAGACAUAUUUUAUGGAGGUCCUAAAUGUGAUUUAGGAGUUACAGAAAUAUUCGGAGUAAUCAUGAGUGCUUCCGGAAGGUUUUAGAAGCCUCUAGAAGGAUCCGAUGGAAAUUCCGGAAGGUCAAAUGGCAAAAGGUCAAAAGUCAAAGGUGGGUCAAACCCUGGUCAAAGGUUGACCAUGGGGGCCAGCCAUCUUGGUUUGGAGAAGGGGUUAUAAGACUCCUAUUAGGAGUUCAUAUCUAUUCCUAUUAGAGGUAGGCGUGCUACUCUUUUUGGAGGAGGACUCUUUUCGUCCUUUGGCCGGACGCCCUCCUAUAUAAGGAGGGGAGGGGUGGCCGGUUAUAGGGGCACUCUCGCUAGUUGUCCUUUGCCCGUCAAGUUCGAGCUCUCUCAUCUAAAGUUUAGACGUCUAAUUAGUAAAUCGUCUACUUUCCGAUCUAGUUUCUUCCAGCGGUUCUUCGUACUGGACGUGAAAGUGCUGCUGAACUAUUCCUCCGGGACGUGUGGAUACGUGUGGAGAGAUCGCCCACUUCGAUCUUGCAGGCGGAUCGCUGUUCGUCUACUUCAAGCUUUCAGGCGCAGCAGAUCGUGCGAGGAAUAUUCUCACGGCUGGGCGGUAUAACCUAACUGCGGGAAUCUGCUACAGGCUUCAACGACAAUCUAUUUCCGCUAUGGUUUUUUGGUAGAUGAUCAAUCUAUCGCAUCCGCAUAGUGAUCUUGAUUGGUUCGUUCGUAGGAAAAUUUUAAUUUUCUGCCUACGUUCCCUUUCAGGCGAAUGGAGGCGGUGGAGGGACCCGAGACGUGGGGUGGGCGGCCUGCUGUGCGUAUUUUAUUUAUUUUCUUUACUACUACUACUACUUAAGCCACAGUUAUGUCCGUGGUUUACCGUAAGUCCUCCCACCCCCCACAGAAAAAAAAGUCCUGAAAAAAUCCGGUCCCCCCACCCCUUCUGAGGAAACAUUCGCCCAGAAGGAAAUAUUCAAUCAACCAUCAAUUGAUUGAGUUCAAAAGAUGACCCAACGCAUUAGGCAACUCUUGGAGAGAUUUCAGGAGAGUAUGGAAAGAUUGUUAGGAGUUGGCCGAGUUGUGGGAGUGAUUUCAGGAAAGGACAUCUUGGUUAGUUGCACGUAUAGCGUGAGUUUAGGGGCUAACGGUCUGAGAUUGGCUGUUAUUUAUGGCAUGCUUUGUAAUCUUGUUUUUGGAAACAGAAAGAGGAAUAGGAAAGGAGAAAAUCUCGGGCUGUGAGAGGCAGCCUCGAGGCCCAAACCUUGCCUUCCUUAUGUUCGUGGUGUUGCCAAGAAAAGAGAUAUCGUGAGAGAGGGAGCUGCAGCGACAGAGAAGAAGAACUGGAGUUGCAGAUUCCUGCCGCGGCAGGAAAUAUUCUGCCGCGGAAGAAAAUCUGCAGGCUGGAGCUGCGUGAGGUAGACGGGGAAGAAGAAGGGGAGCAGCAGCGGCUAGCUGCUCCAACAUAGCCUUAUCAGUUGCCGGGUAUUAACUGGACAAUUCCUAAUCAUGCUUCAUGAAACGGUGCUAAAACAUUGUCCUGUGUCGCAAGUCCCAACAAUCCUAAUGGAUUUCAUUCUGCCGAGUCAUUAAAGGUCUGUGCUUGUUACUCCUAAUUCUGAUCAUAGUUAUUGUAACGUGCUUCUAUCUAGAAGCCGAUGUACACCUAUCAUGUUUGUCAGUUAUAACUUUGUAUGCUUUAAGAAGAUCUAUUUUGUACUUUGGGCUAGGUAUUUUCUACUUCGUAUGCUUCAAGGAAGGUAACUGACUGAGAUGAGAUGCAUAGUUGUUGCCAGAGAGAAGGGACGUUAGCACGUGGCAAACGUGGUUAGCAAUAAAAAUGCAAUCAGAGAGAAGGGAAGUUGGAGAAUGAAACAAAUAUUUAUUGUGAUAGGUUAAAAGUUAUACACAAUUAGUGUACAUAUUUAUUUUUAUUUAUUUAUUAUUUUUCGUUGCAACGCACGGGUACUUUGGCUAGUAUAUUUAUUUGGAGAACAUCCGUAUUUUAUUUGGUGGGCGAUGGAACAAGACAGACAUGUACCAUGCCUUCUUGGUUUUGAGUUGGUCCAGAAACAUCUCACAAAUGGUCCAACAACCCAACACAAAUGACCUAGUAUUACUCACUGUUCUAUACCAAUAGUGGGCCAAAAAGCGGAAAUUCCAUUUGGGUCCUGGGACCCCCUCCCUAUCUCCAUCAUUCCGCCGAUGUUUGAUGUUUGCUUUUAGACCCUGUUUGUUUGGGCCCUGAUGGUCGCCCUUUGCGUAUUUGUGAAAUCAUAGGUGAUGUGUAACAUUGGUAAGUAUUUUAGAUGAAACAUUGAUGUGGAUACUUUGGCUAAUAUGGAUUGACGAAGAUGUAACUUCGACAAUGUCCAUAUUGAUGGACUUGUAUCAAGGAAAGAGGAGUGUGUGUUGGCGAACUCGUCGGCUAACAAGGACACAGGGGACACGAUUUACCCAGGUUCAGAGCCCUCGAUGAGGUAAUACCCCUACGUCCUGCUUGUCGGAUCUGUAUUGAUGAGUCGAUUACAAUAGGGUGCCGCAGAGUCUAGACGCACCGAGUCGUCGAGUGCGUCCAGGCGACUUGUAUCUAAGCUCGGGGGGUGUCCUCUUGGCUCCCCCUCCUGGUCCUUUAUAUAUGCAGGAACUCACAUCCGAGGUAGAGUCCAAGUAGGUUACAAUGAAAAGACAUACUCUAAUUAUUCUUCCUUAUCUUGAGUCGCAAGAUUUGGCAUGUAAACUCCUGGAGUCGAAGUAGGCUUCCUUGUGGGCCCCUAGCUGGGCUGUAUCGGGUAUACUCGAGUCGAGUACGUGGUUAGUCAUAACCACGUCAUGGAUACUUAUGUGAUGACAUGUAUCUUGUUUGGACUUAGUGGUUUGCUAUUGGUGUGUUGAUCCAUUAGUUUCUUAUGUAAAAACAUGGCGUGAGUUGUGUUGAAACUUACCUUGAGUGAAGUCGUGGACUUGUGCUCGUACUGGUUAUUUGUGUGUUCACUUUCAGGUGUUGCCGGAGCUAGAAGAACAUGGUCGGUGAUGGGAUCGAGGGACGAAGCUUGGGAGAAGCUGAGGUCAAGGGAUCAAAGUCAUGCGAGACGUUCAUGUGAAGGAACAAUGGAAGUGAAAUAUACGAUGAUUCGGGAGGGCACCGGUUUGUCGUAUGUUGUUUAUACCGGAGAUGUAUGGUAUUGUAGAUAUUUGACACGUGAUGGUCGAGUUUUGAAGACAUCACAAGAAGAGUCAAGGAGUCCAAACAAGACCAGAUGUUCCCUAUUGUUAUCGGGAACGAGACUAAAUGUUCGGCCUUAAUGAGAUGGACCUUGAUUCCUCUCCGGCCAGGAAAAGAUGCGGCUCCUCUUUGUUUUGUUCUACUACCUUCAUCCUCGGGUGAAGCCGGUUGGCUCACCAAACAAGAGGCCUACUGUUAAAUCAUUGGUAACCAUGCCUAACGGUCGGUCCUCUAAGCUAUCGGCCAAGGCAAGUGAGAGCUGUUCAAGAGUUGGGGGCAUAUCUUUAGCUCGAGUAGCAUUCGCUCCCAAAAUGUGUGGCAUCGACGUGAAGACAUGUAGGUCCAGCCGUGGCUGGAUGAGAGCUGUUUAAAGACUAAACAAUAGUGUCAUGAAUAUGGCGUCCGAUGGAAAAGUGGUCCAUAUGGAAGUUGUGCGCGUCGUGACGCUGUGUGAAUGCUUUCUUUUGGCCUACGGGCUCCUACCUCCACAUCGCGUGCUUCGUGACGCUGUGUGAAUGCUUUCUUGGAAUAAAUCCCCAUAUGGGUCUUUGGAAGAGAAUGUUCACCAUCAAGCGCCAAGGCAAGGAUGCGAUUGGAUGGGUGAAUAUUCAAACUCAUGCGGAUGCCAAAUUCUUCAACCUCCGAGAGAGGGCAUCAUCUUCUCGAUGGAAAUCGAGGUGGUUCUUUGUCAUGGAUGUGCCGGCCGAAGGACGCGACUUCAGUCUUCCCGAAUUCUCCGUGACCACGUCGGUGAAGAAGACGAUGGCCUGGAGUCAUAAAUUGGGAGGAACAGAGGGUGAAGAAGCCGAGACUCUAUUGGCCCGAGUUCUGUCUCUCAUGGAGACUCCUCAGUUGAAGGUGACUAGAAUUCACCUCAUUGCCGCUUUUAUCCGGAGAAGAAUUCAGCCUCUGCAGGCUCGUGCUCAUCCCAUGUGGGCAUAUCGGGGGGGUUCAUGACUCGACCCGAUUUAGUACCGAGGAAUUUCGUUCGACUGAAGUGUGUCGACGAGUUCGGCGACUUACUAACUUGGACGAGUCGGAGCCCUGCGAGAUUGACCCUCCAGUGGCUCCCUAUGGGCCUGACAGGUCCCUAGAAAAGAUGACCACCGAAGCGUCUGACAAGCCCUGCUGUUUUUUGGCAUGAAUUAUUUCUGAUCAUGGUUUUGAUUUUAGGGACCCGAUAAUGAUCUAAGCGGCGCUUCCCCACCGGCAAAGAAGCGCGGCAGAGGAAAAUGACUUGUCGGUACAGACCCAAAUGAUAAGCUUGAGGGACCCGAACGUCGGGCCGUCAGUGUCUGUACCUGCGCUCAAGAGAACCAAGUCCGACGGGCCAAUCGCGACUCUCGCUUUGGUCUUUUUGCAUGACUCAACCGUGCCAGGUGAAUCUUUUAGCCAUCUUACUUCAGUAUCCUAGAGAUUUUGACUGAACCUCUAAAAACUUCUUGAUUAGCCAUACUAGUGGCUCAGUUGAGAGCAAAAAGGCUCCCUGGACUCAAUCGACUGGUCAGGACUUGAAAGGGUCGGACCAGCCGACUAAACAAAAGACAGCCCAUACCAAGGAGGCUUCGGCGGCUAAUCCGAGCAGAGGAAGUCGACCAGAUGAGUCGAGCGUUCCUCAGGCGACGGUUCCUGCGUCGAGUCGACACGUGAGCAAAUUUGUCAUUUGCUAUUACCUGCCUCCCGGUGGGAGUGACACUCAAGAAAUGACUUGAGAUUGCUUUUUUGUUUGUAGCCAAUCAUCCGCUCCAUGGCAACUCUUAUUGAAGAGUUUGAGGAGACGAAAGCAGAUCGGGAGCGACUUCGAGAAGAGCUGAGUCAAUGAAGCGAUCCUCCCCCUUACAAGGGUUCGAUCUCUGUGCUUACCGUGCUAGUCCCUGGAUCGACUCACUAGCACACACAGUUUCAUGAUGAAAUAUACAGAAACAAAGGUCAAAAGUACUUUAUUACAUCGCAUCAUUCAGAAUUUAAAUAGUACUUACAACCUCGCAUGACCUCUUGGCCAGCAUAAAACAAAUACUGUUUCAUCAUCAUAAAACAAUGUUUCAAAACUGCAGCGGAAAAGGGUAGAACAAAAGGGCCUCAACUACUCCAAGGUGAGAGCAUGUUGGAAUGUAAGCACAUGACCCAUGACAAAACGACGAACCUCACUCAUCGUCGGAUCCACCUGCAUUGUAAUUGCAGCCACUACGUGGUCAAUACAUUUGAAUGUAUUGGCAAGUUCACCAGAGUUAUAAAGGACCUACCAAGUAUAUGCAUAAUUUGGCUAGGUGGAGUUUGGCUGUUUGCAUAAAAGCAUCAUAGUUCAAUCCUAUCAUUUUUAAACAAUUAGUUUUGAAUUCUAUUGGACACGGGAUAGAAACACCCAUGCUCCUAUUAACCUAGGCACAUUGAGUAGAAACAUCAAUGCUCCUACCCAGUUCAAACCAUUCUUUUUAUUAGGAAAUUGGAAUGAGUGAGACCUUUCUUACAGCCCCAAUAUCUAGUUGCUCAUAAUUGUCCGUAACCGGGGACACGGCUAAGUACUUAGUUUGACACUCUCGAGAGGUUGUACACAUUCCCCACAAGAAAUCGACGUGUUAAUCCCUUGCUGUCCUCAGGGUAGAGUAGCAACGGCAUCGACUACAGGAUUUUUCAGAACAUAAUCUCCCAGACCACCUGAUGGACGCGCCCCCACCUACACUGCUACAUACCGAUGUCACCUCGGAUCCGGGUUCAUAUUUCUUACAUCCAUCCUGGCAGAGCCCAUAAUACCAUGUGGUUGUACUGGAAUCUACUAAACAAGAAACUAGUCCAGUCUCUGGUUACCCCGGGUGGCAUUCCUCAGUUGCAACGCAGGCGCUCCCAUAGAAAUGGUGAGACGACUCAUAGAAAUGGACCCAUAGAAAUGGACCUGACGUCGCAUACAUCUCCACUUCCUCAAAGCAGCCCACCCAGGACGGUUUAUUGAAUUACUUGUUUUGCCGUACACUAGGAAAACCAUAUUGUAAUUCAAUAGUAUCACAUUGUAAUAAUACCACCCUCGUAUAUUAUCAUAUCCUAGCAUUUUACUACCACGAUGGCAAUUGGUGGUGGGAACAUGGCAAAGGUAUUCUACACUAUUAGGAGAAUCAUAGCAUAGCAUAGAUACAAUAAUAAUCCUAACAAUGCAACUAAUAAAAUCUAGUGCAUAAUAAAGUAAUACGUGAAUGAUCAAAGUGAACUUGCCUUGAUAGUAGUUGGUAUUCAAACACUCUUCGCAAUCACACAGUUCGUUCUCCAAGAAAACUAAUCAAAUACAAACAUUGCAUACAUAAGCACACAAUACAAUCAAGAGUAAAAAAGUAUGCCAUGAUGCAAUGUAAAACAUGUGACAUGAGCUUGGUUUAUUUUAUUUGAGUGAUCUACUGAUCCUAAGCAUAAGUAAUUAAAACAAAUGCAUUAGCGUUUUAAAUAGAAAGGCAAAGGCUAGGGUUUAAACCCUGAAAUAAGGUUUUAUUUGCGUCUGCAAAGAAAUUUAAUUCAAAAUAUUUAUUUCUCUGUCUUUAUGGACAGAGGAUAAUAAAAUAAAAUUUUGGGCACUGGUUUCAUUCAAAAAGGACUUCUAAAUAAUUAGUUAUGAUUUAAAUAGUAUUAUACCUUAUUCUGUAAUUUGAAUGUGAUUCAAAUUUUCAAAUUUAAAAAUGGACAGUGCCAAAAGAUUCUACACUUCCUAAGGAUUUCAAAAAGGUGUGGAUCAUCAAAUUUGGCCAAACAGAUUAAAAGAUAUGAUCAUUUGAAGUUAGAGGGGCUUUUCUGCAAAAGUGCCAUUUCUAAUUAUUCCGGGAAUUAAAAUUAGAUUUUCGUUUUAUAAAAUAGGUGCCACAUGUCACGUUCUCAUUGGUGCGUACCGGUUCGGUUAAAAAUAAACACGGGAUCUAAUCCUAGCCCUCGGAUCUGGAUCGGACGGACGGGGCGGGCUAGGGUUUACCUCCGUGGCGGCGGCGGUCGCCGGAGACGAGGGAGACGGCGGCGCGGGCACGGGCGGGCGGCUCCUCCGGUGAAGUUGACGGCGCGGGGAGGUGCUGGGUCGACACGGCGCGGUACGGCGAAGUCGGGGGCGAGGUCGGCGCUCCUCGGGGUCGUCGGGGUGCUCGCCUAGGAUGGCGCGGAGACAGCGGCGAGCGGCGGACGGCUCCGGAUCUUCGGCUUGACGACGGCGAGGCGCUGCGGCGCGCAAAAAGGAGAAACGGACGCAUCAAAAGAUGCGCAAGGACGAAGGAAAGCGAACGGCUAGAAAUGGGCAGAGUUUUGACCUUAGGGUUCACCGGCGGCGACCAAAACGUGCGGCGGCGAGCGACGAGCUCCGGCGAGCGAUUCCGGCGGAGUGGGCGCGUGAGAGAGAGGGGAACGAAGGGGGAAGAAGAGAGGGGGGCGGGGGGCAGAGCUUUAUGUUGACGCGCUCGGGGCUGCGAAAUAUGGACGGAGCGCAGAGAUCUCGGCGGAGACGGCACGCGGUGGCGAAGAAGGAAAGCGGCGGUGGACGCGGGCGCUUUCCAUCGGGAACGAAGACCCUGACGCGUGGGUCCCACGCGUCAGUGGCAGCGGGCACGCGCGCGUGCGGCGGGGCCAGUCUGGCUCGGUCGGGCGCGGUCGGAGGGGGCUGGUCCGGCCCAUUUUGGCGGGGCCGGUCCGGUUUUCUCUUUAUUUUUCUUUUAGCCCUUUUGUUUUUUCUGUUUUUCCUAUUUCUUUGAUAUCUUUUGAUUUUUACUCCAAAUUGGUCCAAAUAAAUUCUAGAAAAUUUCUAAAAUCAUGUUCUAUCAUGAUUCAACUUUUGGGAGUAAUUUCCCUUCAAAAUAAAAUACCUAAAAAUACAUUUUCCCUAUAAAUGCCUUUAGGGCUAUAUAACUAUUUAAAUAAAAUAGUUUUUCAACUCCAAAUAAUUGUCCAAAAAUUAUGGAAUAGCUCAUUUAUGCAAUAAACCCCUUUUAUAAAUAAACCUUAUUGGUUUAAAGAUUCAAAGCUCAAAUGGGUGUAAACCCUAGGGUUUAAAUUGAAAUAAAAACUUUUAAAGCCUUUUGAGAUUCAAAUUUGAAUUCAAACGUGCAAUUGUGGCAUGAUGCUUAUGAAUGCAAUGCAUAUGAAAGGAUUUGAAAUUUUGGGAUGUUACAGUCAAUGUCGCCAAGAGCUGCAGGACGUGGCCGCCGAAAAGAGUCGUCUUCAGGAACGUAUAGACUCCCGUAUUUCCGCAGAGAAAGAGCGGGAGAAGGUUUGGAUCGAGCGACUCGAAAGUGCUACUCACUCAGUUGCUGGUGAGCGCUUGAACCUGUUAUUCGAGUGGCUUUUCCUUCUCGUGGAAAAUUUUGACCGUUUCUCUGUCCUUUUGCAGGAGUCCUUGAUGCUUCCGCAUAGGUCCAAUUCAAAGAGAGAAGCCGAAGCUUCAAUGAUGUUUUAGAAAAUGUUGAAGUCAUCAAUGAUGAAGCCAAGGGCAAGCUCCGGCAAGCGACAAAGAUUCUGACCACCGUAAUCAGGAAGAUGACUCCUGAUGGGUCAGUGCCGGAGUCGCUGAAUGGGCUUAUUGAAUUUUUUGCAGCGAGUCAUGACCCGGUAGGGGAGUACUACUGAUGCUGAGCUAUUCUUUACGCUUGCUCUUGCGCAUGGCAUUGAGGAAGACGCUCUCCAUCGAGUAACCUCUCGAUCGAGAGCAGGUGACUCGGUCAACCUAGGGCCCCUUAUGGGAAAGGGCAAAGAGCUGGCUGAGAUCUCGUUGCGGCAGCCACGUAGAUCAAUUGAGGAGAUGAACCUAGCUUCAUCCAGCGGCCCAGAGGUGGGUGAUCUUUCACUAGAUAUAUUUGAUUCUCUUUCUCCUUUGUGAAUCUUCUUCUUCUGUUCUUAUACCUUUGUAAAGAACUGCUCUAGCUGAGCCCUUUUUGGAAAGAAAUCAAAAAAUCUUUAUUUCCAUCCCGAAAGGGGUUCUUCAGGAUAAAUGCUGAGGUAACUUGUGUCUUUUCCGCGCAGAGGGAAAAAGGACCAUCGAGUCACUCGAUUCCAGGUGCAGCGGCAACCUCUCGCAACGAUGCUCCAGCCGAUCCUAGCGGAAAAGGUCAGGCUGGGUCGGCUUUGUGCCCAGAGCAGUUACGAGAAAUUGAGGCUCGAUUCACUAAAUUGAAGCGUGACACGCUGGGUGACGCUCAGAGUAGCAAAUCUAGCCUGAAAGCUGCGACCAACCGGGAAGAGUUUGUCUUUGGAGAGCUUCGCAGCCUGAGCAGCCAAAUCCAAGGUAAGGAUCGCAAGACUUUGCCUUUCGAGUCGGUCUGCAAAGUGAUCUUACCGUCUUCUGUGCAGUUGUUCGCUUUGACCCUGACGAUGAAAAGGCCAAAGUGAAUACCGCCAUUCAAGCUCGCAGAGUGCAUGAUCCAUCAUCCUUUUCGCUGGAUCAGUCAAGGAGCUACGACUUGAUGCUGUUGAUCGAGCGGAUCAAGCAGGUCAAAAGGUACUUGACCUCCUGCCGUGACAUGCUAGCUUCGACACAUCUGGCCUUAUGGCCACAGGAGAAGGUGCCUCGUAAACCGGGCAGCCUGAUGGUGAAGUUUCACGACGAGGAGAAGAUGAAGGAGCUGGUUCGACUCUAGCUGGUGAGGGGUGCCCAGAUUGCCCUCGCAUUUGUGCGAGUCAACUGCCCAGAGUUGGAUUUCUGGCAAAUUGCUACAUUGCCAGUUACUCUCACCCAGGGUAUAAAGUCAUUCCUGGAGGCUGGGCAGGCGGCGGCGCUGUAGAUGAUCCAGCAAUGGGAGGCAGCUGAGGAGGAGACCCUGCCUGUCGUAGGUAGUCAUGUAGUUUUUUUCCUCUCUUUUUUUGUAACGACUAGUCUACCGGGUGCGCGAUCAGCGCUCCCGGUGGGAGUAGCCCCCGAGUGCGGUUGCAACUGUGUGUAGUGGCGACCGGACUCAAGGUUGUAAUGUGAUAUCCUUGAGCAAUGUUGCACCCCUUCUUUUUUUGGAAUGGAGCGCCCUGACUUGCCAAUUAGCGCCGAGUCGAAUUCCGACUUGUGGAAGUCGAAUUUGAGUCGGAUUUGAAGUACUCCUGGUGGGAGUGCCUCGCAGUCGAAUAUAAAUAGCCGAGUGCAGACUCGAACGUACUAGCCAGCGCAAGGGAUUUGUCCUGCUGAUUAGCACUUGGGCCUUGGAAGAAGAUAUGGAUUCCUCCGAUGCACUCGAGGUUAUGCAUAUCCGUUUGGGACAUGUGAGGAAUACCACCUCGCGCAGGCAUGGGAGGAGAUUUCCUUGCUCAAGUCGGAGAAUCGGGCCGCAUCGGGUCGAGAGGAUUUAAUUUCCUCAGGGAAAAUGUGAAGGUUGAAGCUGAAUGUGUAAAGAGUCGUCUUGAUGCUUUAGCACGAUCUGGUUCGGAGAACCCAUCCUUCUAGUCAAAACCGCGACAAGGGUUAUGCCCUUGCGCUUCUGCAAGAUCGAGUUGCAAGAGCAGUGAUCUGCCUGAAGUCCUGCAGUCACUGUUUGACAGAGGUUCACCAUAACUUGUUUCCGGAGCUUCGUGUCCCUGUUGACCUGAAGGGAUUAAUCGAGAGAUUUUGUGAAGGAGCAGUAGUGAGGGGGGCUACUCAUGAACAAUUGGUGGAGGGUGUUGUGCUGGCUCUCUCGUUUGUUCGUUUUCGCUACCCCUCAUUGAAUCUGGACUCCCUGCAUUUGACUCCCUCUUACAUUCCAGACGAUGCUCAGCUUGGACCGAUUUACGACAUGAUGGAGAACACGACAUGUCAGCUGGUGACUCUUAUGGCCUUGGAGUAGAGUAGGCUUUGAUACUCGUUUAAAUAUGUAGGCGUAGUUGUCUGAGUAGUAUUUUUACCGGGUGCGCGACCAGCGCUCCCGGUGGGAGUAGCCCUCGGGUCUGUGCAUGACUGGUUUGCAGUCAUGUGGAGACCCAAAUACUUUGAAAUCUUUUGUAAUUGAAAACUGUUAGCAUCGUUGAAGAUGCCGCACCUUCUUGUUCUGUACUUCCAUUGAUCUUGUAUGAGAAAACAUUAUGAUUCCAAUUUUGCUUGCUUGGAAACUGCCGACCAUUGAAUGAUUGUGCUGAUGUUUGUUUACGCGAUAGCCCGUGAAUGCCGGCUGCAUACAACGAGAGUUUUUUAAAGUCGAUUGAACGCAGCCUCCGAGCGUGGGGUGCGACCAAUGACAAUGUCUGCGGUCGACGGGACACAGCCCCCGAGUGUCGAGUGUGUCCAAUGAUAAGUUUGGGUCGAUUGGACGCAGCCCCCGAGUGUCGGGUGCGUCCAAUGACAGUUUAGGUCGAUUGGACGCAGUCCCCGAGUGUCGGGUACGUCCAAUGACAAGUUUGGGUCGAUUGGACGUGUAACAUACCGGUUCUCGGCAUUUCCAAAAUCUAUUUCCUAAAAAUGACUACUUGAAAAUUUCGCUGAAUUAAACAAAGCUUAACUGGAAAUUUCUUGAAUCUUUGGUUCUAAAUUGAAUUUACACCGACUAAAUAUGAAUUUGAUUUAUACACUUUCUCAUUUGGUUUGCUUAUAUUUUAUUUGGAUUCUCCAUGUUCAAAUAUGCACUUUUAAAUCUCUCUGGAAUUCAUCUCGAAGUUGAUUUGAUGUUUGAGAAGUUCAUUCGAUCUCUUAGCUUCUGUAAAAAUAAAAAAGCAUUUCCUCUUUCUUUUUAGCUUUGGCUGAAAUCCCCAGCCGCAACCCAUCUUCCUUCUCUCUCCCGUAGCCCACUUCUGGCCGAACUGCUCCAGACUACCGUGCCUUGCUUCUAUUUUCUCCCGCGUGUGUUUAAUCUCCAGAGGACGAAGGAGAACUGCCAUCUCCUCGACGCCAGUGUAACUCGAGCUACCUAGAACGAUCGUAUUCAGAGGGAGCUCACGCGAGGAAGACAAGAGUUUUUGCGCUGCUCAAACUUCCGCAGCUUUUCUGGCAUUUUUCAUUCCCCUUUUUAUUCAGACGUUACAUGCAAAACAGAAAAUGGGGAGAGCAAGCCGCGCCAUGAUCCGCUGAUCCCGCGCCAUCCCACGGCCGAGUCAUGGCGCACAUCCCGCUCCUCCACAACGGCCACACUAUAGGCACGCCCAUGCAAACGUACGCAGACAUGCUGGGACGUGUUAUGCUAACAGAAAACAAACUAACAACUGAAAGCAAAGAUGUUUAACAUGCACGAGUUUACUAACAAAACACUCCCUAAACUCGUGCACCUACUUUAUUUGGAUCAUACCAAUCUUCGAGCGCAAUUCCUGGAAUCUGACGCGGCCAAGGGACUUGGUCAGGAUAUCAGAGAGCUGCGCCUCAGUUCGGAUGAACUCCACUUCAGCCUGGCCUUUCUCAACGCACUCCCGUAUGAAGUGAAAUCGAGUGUCGAUGUGUUUGCUCCUGUCGUGGAACACAGUAUUCCGGCUGAGAGAGAUCGCCGACUUGUUGUCGACGAACAACUUGAUGCAGGCCGCCUCUUCCUUCUUCAGUUCACCGAAAAGACGAGCUAGCCACACUCCCUGAGAGACAGCAGUGGUCACCGCAAUGUAUUCGGCUUCACAAGAUGAGAGCGCCACCACCUUCUGCUUGGUUGACUGCCAGGUAAUCGGACUUGUUCCGAGGAAGAAGAGGACGCCGUGGUGCUUUUGCGGUCGUCUAUGUCGCCAGCCAAGUUGCUGUCGCUGUAACCGACAAGGUUGGCGUCGCCGUUUGCUCCUCGUGCAAACUUGCAGCCAUAGUUCAGGGUCCCCGCGACGUAGCGAAGUAUGUGCUUCACUGCUGCAAGGUGCUUGACAGUAGGGGACUCCAUGAAUCUGCUCACAUAGCCCACCGAGAAAGUGAUAUCCGGCCGGGUGUGAACCAGGUACCUGAGGCACCCCACGAUGCUCCUAUAUUCAGAAGCAUCCGUUGGCUCUGCUGAACUAGCUUUGCUCAGCUUGAGGCGUGUUUCCAUCGGCGUCUGACAAGAAUUACAGCCCGUCAUCCCACUGCGCUCAAGGAUCUUCACGGCGUAUGAGGACUGACAGAUGGUGAUGCCGGCAGCGUCUUGCUGCACUUCAAUGCCAAGAUAGAAACUGAGUGGCCCAAGGUCACUCAUCUCAAACAGCUGCUUCAUUUCUGCUUUGAACAACUGCAGCUCUUGCUCGUUGGCUCUAGUAAUGAUCAGGUCGUCCACGUAAACUCCGACCAAAACUCUGGCUUUGUCUUCACCUCUGGUAUAGACAGCAUGCUCCAGCUUGCUGCGAACAAAGCCAAUUGACGUAAGGCAAUGAUCCAGCUUUGCAUUCCAUGCCCUAGGAGCCUGUUUUAGACCAUAUAAGGCCUUCCGAAGCUUGAACACCUUGUGCUCUUGCCCUUUCACCUCGAAGCCCGGUGGCUGAGCAACAAACACCGUCUCCUCUAGUUCACCAUUGAGGAAGGCGGACUUCACGUCCGUGUGGUGCACAGUCCACCCGGCAUGCGCCGGGAGAGCAAGCAGCAGCCGGAUGGAGUCCAGAUGAGCGACCGGCACGAACACUUCGUCAUAGUCCACGCCAUGCCGCUGCACGUAGCCCUUUGCGACAAGACGGGCUUUGUGCUUGGCCACCUUGCCGCGAGAGUCUUUUUUCACCUUGUACACCCACUUCAAUCCUAUAGGACGUUGUCCUUCCGGCAGCGAGACCAAUUCCCAAGUAUCAUUGGCCUCAAUAGAAUGCAUUUCCUCCAUUGCUUUGCGCCACCACGCAUACUGGAUGGCAUCACGGUGGCUCGUUGGUUCUUCGUUGAUGAGGAGAUUCAGCAGCGGGGCCGCACCGGCAUCAAGCACAUUCCUGACAGUGCGAUACCGAUGAGGCACAUGAGCGUCGUCGUCGUUGUCGAACAGCUCUGGUUCCACCGUGGGUGGAGAGACAAGCUCGAAUCCCACAGUGGGCGAUUCAGCAGGCGUUGCUGGUGUUGCGGGCGUUGCUGGAGUCAUGGGCGCUGGACUGGAGUCGUUCGUGUUGUCGGCCGGAACUGGAGAUAAUGCCGCCUGCGUCGCGGCCGGGUGCAGCACAUACUCAACAGUAAAAUAAUCUGUCGACAAACCAGAGUCGUUAUUGCUGCCGUCUGCGUCCCAGUUCCAUGCCGCAGACUCGUCGAACACCACGUCACGAGUGACAUGGAUGCGCCUCGCCACGGGAUCAAACAUUUGGUAGGCCUUGAUCCCAGGCUCGUAGCCGAACAUGACCAUCUUGCGGCUCCUGUCGUCCAGCUUCUUGACAUUGGGGCUCACCAUUUUGACAUGGCCGAUGCAGCCAAAAGUGCGGAGAUAGUGCACAUUCGGCUGCCAUCCAUGCCACGCCUCGAACGGGGUCUUGCCCUCAACGCUGGCCGUCGGCAAACGGUUCAGCAGGUACACUGCCGUGGUGACUGCCUCGCCCCAGAACUCCGCCGGCACUCCCUUCGCCUUCGCAGGCAGCGUGCCAUGCCGACGACGUUUGAUUGCGCCGCUCGACGACGCCGUUUUGCUGGGGAGAGUACGGCGCUGUCAAGUGCCGCUUCACUCCCAGCUCCUCGCAAUAUGCAGUGAAGUUGUUCGACGUAAAUUCACCGCCGCGAUCGGUGCGCAGCGCUCGGAGUGGAUGCUGCGACUCGUUCUCGGCAGCCACCUUGAAUCGCUUGAUGGCCACGACUGCCUCGUCCUUGCUCGUCAACAAGGUCAGCCACAUAUACCUGCUAUAAUCAUCCACAAGAAGCAGGAAGUACCGCUUGCCUCCUGGCGUUGCCGGUGUCACCGGGCCGCAGAGAUCGCCAUGCACCAGUUCAAGCUGAUCUGCAGCCCGGUACUUUGCCUGGUGGGGAAAGGGAGCUCGGCGUUGCUUCCCCACCAAGCAGCUGUCGCAGAGCUGGCCCACGCGCUCGAUCGUCGGCAUGCCGCGAACCAUGCCGUCCCUGGAGAGCCUCCGCAGUGCAUCGAAGUGCAGGUGGCCGUACCUGGCGUGCCAACGCCAGGCGUCAUCGUUCCCUUGUACAGAGAGGCAGAUGGGCUGCGCCACCUCGAGAUGUAGCACGUACAGACGCCCCCGGUUUCGCCUCACACGAGCGAGCAGCUUCCGUUGUGGAUCCCACAGCCGGAGAACGCCGUGGUGGAUGUUCGUCUCACACCCAAUUUCGUCCAUCUGCCCUAGACUGAUGAUAUUGCUCUCCAGACGUGGGAUGAAGUAGACAUCAGUGAGCACUCGGUGCUCACCGUUCCGGCAAGUGAAGACAAUCUUGCCGCGGCCCUCGAUGUUGACCAGCGAGCCGUCCCUGAGCUUUACGCGUCCACUCAUGCCGGCAUGCAGCUCGGAGAAGAGUUCACGGCGCCCGGACAUGUGGUUCGACGCGCCACUGUCCAGGAACCAUGACAUGUUGCAGCGCCCAUCGCCGGGAGCCGCGCGGGCUUUAGAGUGCUCCUCAUUCAGCAUGACGUGCUCCUCGGCGUCGUCCGUGAUCACCUUCAGCGCGCACGUGCGCGCCAUGAGGAGCGCCGGCUCCUCGUCGUCGGCUUGGGCGAGAUUGGCAUGCCCCUUUCAUUCCUUCCUAGGCUCACGACAAUGCUUCGAGAAAUGGCCCAUCUUAUUGCAAUUGAAACAUUUCACCUUGGACAUGUCGAUGUUUCCGUUGGCGUCGCGGGCAUGCCCAAUGCCCUGUUGCUUCGGAGCCUUGCCGCGCUCGUUGCCGUUCGCGUUCUGGGCAUGGUUCGUGCCGCCCACGUUCUGGCCUUGGCCACCGCUGCCUUGGCCCGUCUGGCGCUGGCUGCGGCGUGUCUCCCACUCCUCUUCGGUGAGGAGUAGCUGGCCUCCGGCAGCACUGGACGAGCUGCUGCCGAGGGUGUAUCGGGACUCCGCCGCGCGAAGCCGCCCGAUGAGUUCCUCCAAAGACACCUGCUUGAGGUCGAGCAGCGUCUCAAUCGACAUCACGAUUUGCAUGUAUUUCUCCGGCACACGCGCGAGGAACUUCUUCACCACCGUGUGACCGGCGCCACCGGAUCGCCGAGCGUCUCCAUGUGGUUGAUAUGGCUGUUGACCCGCAUGCUGAACGAGUCGAGGGAUUCGCCGAGUUUGAAGGCGAAGCGCUCCCACUGCGUGCGAAGGCGUUCCACCGCCGCCUUGCGCACGCGCUCCACGCCGAGGCGCAUGAGCUUGAUGGCCUCCCAGCCCUCCCUGGCCGUCUCCUUGGAGGCAAUGAUGCCUUUCAUCUCCGGUGGCACGGCUUUGAUCAGCGCCGCCAGAGCAUUCAUCUCGUCGACCUCGCUGAUCUCGUCGUCCUCCUCAGCGAUCAUGGCCGUCCACAACCGCUGGGCACGCAGGUUGACCUUCAUGACCUGUGCCCACUCGACGUAGUUCGUCGCCGUUAGCUCGGGGCAGGUGAUCGUGCUUCCCCCGCCGCCGGCGACCACCCUCUCCUGGACGAUUAUCUGGCGGUUGUCGUUCCGCCUCGCGCCAGGACUCUGACCUCGCGGCCGUCGUGAAGCCGACCGCGAACCACCGACAGACCGCUCGCGUGAGCGAUCCUGACUGCCGGCCAUGGCGCCUAGAGCCUUUCGUGGCUCUGAUACCAACUGUAACUCGAGCUACCUAGAACUAUCGUAUUCAGAGGGAGCUCACGCGAGGAAGACAAGAGUUUUUGCGCUGCUCAGCCAGAAACCGGCAACAAGAAACGUCAUCCGACAGCCAUCAAAUUAAUAACCCCAUCUUGCCCUUCCUUCCUUUCCUCCCUGCUGCUUUUGCACGCCAUAGCCUGAAUUCCACCCGCAGCAUCGCCAAGUCCCUGCCUGCGCCCCACUGCCCACCAAAUCGCCAUUGAUGUUGACGGCAGAAUCCUGCGAAUAAAAACGCUGCAGACCAAACCCUUGCGCCAGAACAACCACACCAUUCCAAUUUUCCCCAACGCAACUCUCCCCUCUCCACUUUCCAACCGAAGACCCCCAUGGUGCAGCACCGAAGAGGAUGACAAGGGAGAGCAGCACCAGCGAUCAUGUCAGGAGGGCCAUGCCAAGAAGGGAUCGAGGCCAAGCGCCAUGCAGUAGGAAGAAAGGACUGUCGUCUGAUCGACUACAACCGCCAGCAAAUCCUCCUGUCUUUAUUCUACUGCUAUUCAUCGAAUUGGUGAGAAUCUGAUCAAACCAUCAUCCUUUUGAAUGCCUCUACAUCCAGCACAUAUGCAGAUUCAAGUGGAUUUCUGAACCAAUUUGUUUAGCAUCCCCAAAUUCUCUUUCUUCCACUUCUGAAUAUUGUUCCACCGAUCAAAUCUUUCUCCCAUCCUUUAGUAACCAUCUUUAGUCAGCAUUACCACUGGUUACAGGUCCUAGACCAAUCGGAUAGGGGUUGGGAACAAUAAAACUCAAAUAAGCCUAUCCUGCUUGUUAGCACCAAAAUGGUUGAUUUCAUAUCUUUGCUAGAUCAAUUUUUGUUUGUCUGAAACUUUCUGCAUAUAUAGAUGUCUAUCAUGUUCUAGUAUUAAUUUACUUUGCAUACAAAUAGUUUCACAUGUUCUGGACUUGUAGAUUUGAGGAUCUUGAGAUUGCAAGGUUGUUAUUUCAUGUGCAAUAGUUAUUUUGAUCAUGCUUGUUCUUUCUGUGUAAAAAUCUGCAUAAAUGUCUAUAAGAUCAUGUUUGUAGUUAGUUUUACCUGCACACAUUUUAGUUGGACUGUCACUUCUGAAUCUCCAUUUGUGGGCAUGUUUUAUCUAUUAUUUAAAAGCAUUGUUUGCAUUCUAGUUCAUCGGUUUGGUACAGAAAAUCAUGUGAAUGAAGUUUGCUGCACAAAAAUGCAUGGCAUGACAUCUUAGAUACUUCUAUGAGUAUUAUGAACAUAUUUUAGAACUCAGCCAUAUUUAUGUUAUUGAUCGUUGAGUGUAUCUAUUUUAAUUUGUGCAGAUUAAUAAAUGAUCAUUCUUGCAUAUGUUUUGCGUAGCUUAUUUGUACGGGUUAGAUUUAUGUCUUGGCUUGCUUGUAGUAUUUUUAGCCUGUAACAAAUUGUAUAUAUAUUGUUACAUAAUUAUUUCUAAAGUUUGUAGAAUUUUCUCACAUGCCUAGUUAGCUUUCAGAUUUAUAAAUUAGCAUCCUUGCUUGUGUUUUUGUUUAUGCAGCACAGCCAUGAUAGUUGUUUUGGUUAUAUCAGAUUUAAUAUAGCUUUUGUAUGCUUACUAGUAUUGUUGGUAAUUAUUUGAGUAUUUAUGGAUUGCUAGUUUGUUUUUAACAUUAUUAUUUCCAUAGAUAUACCAUGUUUAGUGUAUAUAAAUGCUUGUUAAUGUAUAUACUAUUUGUCUAAUACAUUGCAGCGUCCAAUAUUAUACUUGGGUUGUUUUGAUGCUUUCCAUGCUGUUCAUAUAUAUGUCAUGGUAUGAUGUUUGUUAUCCAUGGCCCAAGGUAGAAGAAGACACACAAACACAAUGAACUCACAGAGGCUUUGGCACCCGCACACCUCGUGUCUUUUUUUCUCUUGUUCACUUGUAAACUUAGCUGAUUACAAGUCUUAAGUAGAGAGAAAAACAUAGGCACACACUGCUGCUUUGAUCCGCUAAUUGCUCUCCACUAGCCGGUAGCUAGAAAGCCACGAAUAAUCACGUUGGAUACGGCCACACGAUUCAGCCGGAGUCCUCCUCAACUUGUUGAUUACUCGGUCCACACCUGAAGCCUCUAAUGGCCAUGUAACUCGGUCAGCAACAGCACACCUACCUGCAUGCUACUUAUCCUAUCGAUGCCAACACAUGCAUCCAUUCUCCACUGGACUAGCUAAUUCAACUAACUAAAGUACUAAACUCACUUAGCUUGCAUGCACACACGUGAACACAUCUCUCCGUGUGCGCUGCCACAGCUUGCUACCUGAACGACACAAAUAAAUGAACAUGAUGAAAAAACUCUAAACAACAAGGUUAACUCCAACAAUGUUUGCAUUUAUCCACUACCUAUAUUGCAUAUAGAGUAGGUUUGUACAAUUGCAAUGCAUUUGCUAUAGUUUAUUCUUGUAGCUAUUCCGAUAUUGCAUGAAUGCUUUGUACAAUUUUAGUACAAUAUAUUCCAAAGCCAUGAGCUUGAUUGUAUUUAUAGAUACAAAUAAUAUGCAUGUGCUUUCUUAUUGCUUGGCAUACUUUGUUAUGGUUUGACUUAUACAUCAUAUAUGCUCAUCCAUGGAUAGCCUCUUGCUUGCUAGCUAGUGAUACAUGUUAGUUGUUGCCUGUCCCUGUAUAUGCUAAUAUAAGGAUGCAUGUCAUUUAUUUGUUUAGCUUUGCCAUGUUUGUUAGUGCAUAUGUCCAUAUUAUCACAUGAUAGCCUAUUGUCACUGAAGGAGCAUAUGUAUUCUAGAGUGCUUUAUCCCUAUUAAUUAUUCUCACAUGAUAGCAUUGUUUGUUCUGACCUCCAUCAUGUAUAUGUUGGCUUGCAAAUGCCUAUAUUGUUUAGUUGCCUAUAGCUAAGAUGCAUCUCUUUGGUAUUAUCAUGCUCAUGCCACUAGCAUAGAUCCUAUGCUUGCUUGACUAGUAUAGAAUCAUGUGUGGCAUGUUUUACUCAUAAUUUAUCUGUUGUGAUUGUUCAUGCUUAAUUUGUAUUCAACCUUGACUUGAAUUAGAACUACUUCUGUUUUUUAUUUUAUUUAUUUUUAUCAUGUGUAGAGAGAAUUGUUAGCUUUGUAAGUCUCUCACUCAUCCUUGCUGUUGUAUGCCAGUUUGUAUAUUAUGCGAAUUGCUUGUUUAACUAGGAUGAUAGGAGUUUGAUUGCUGCUUGCAUGCUAGCAUAAUAAUGUGUGUUGCUUUGUCAUGGAGUGCAUUUACAAAUAUGCUUGAGAGUUAUCUUUGGUUAGUGGCAGCAUAGCUUUAUAGUUUAGUAUUUAUUAUUAUUAUACUAAAGGGUAUGACCAAUCAUAUAUAUCCUUCCUCUCGGAUAUAUAAUUAUACUUGUUAGAAUCUGUCCCACCAUCCAAUCCUAUCAAAGUUAUUCAUAUCGUUUCCAAACCUAUUGUCAGCCUCAUUGUUUAUUCGCUCUCUUAUUUCUAUUUCAUUUGACUUUAUUGCUUUUGCAUUUAUUUUGUUUGUUCUUGUUAUCGUUACGACAAAUAGAGAGUGACGAGGUGGAUCUGAGUGCGUCCAAUGACAAGUUUUGGGAUCGAUCUCUCAGUUCUGAGUGUGAUGCGAUCGCAACAAGGUAAGUAAAAGGGGAAGGCUCUGAAUAGAGGAGCAUAAUUAGUUUUAUUACGUACCGAUGGUACAAGAAGGUACUUAAAAAUGCAGAAAAAGGAAAACGAAUAGGUGAGAAACUAAAAAAUAAAAUCGAGUAAAAAAAGCCUGGCGCGUUGGCGGCACAAUUGCGUGGCAUUCCGCGCCUUGCUUCUUGAGUCCCCGGCUCUGGAUUGGAGUCUGAGGGGGAGGUUUUUGAUUCUCCUAUCCCGUAGUCGAGUUGGCUGAACAGCCAUGUCAAGUGCAACUGGGUGCACUGCUCCGGCGAAACUGGCUGGGCGCGGAGGCGGAGGAGGAGCACCGAUGGCUAGAGCUCCUGGUAUGGGAGGCAGCAAGGGUGCAUUGACUCCUUCGUUAGGGUAUGGAAGCAUCCCAGGUAGCUGUGAGAAGCCCGCACUUGUUGCCCACUGCUGUGUCCUGGCAAACUCAGCCUGCAGUUCCUUGGAGCGCCGGCACUCGGCUAGAGGGUGGCUUGGCUUGAUGUUGCCUUGCUCAUCCCUGUAGACGUGAAACGGGCAAGGGGAAGCUAGCUGCUGAGCAAGGGUUGGUUGAUUUCUUUUUCUCUGCCAUUUGUUGCCCACGCUUGUCACCACCUCGAAAACCUCCACCGUGAUUUCCGGUCUCCUAAGAGCCAAAAUCUGUCGGAGAGGCUGCCGCGAUGAAUUCAGGAGGGUGUGAUUCUUCGAAGGCUCGGUUUUUGUGCUCCUUCGUCGAUCGUGGCCACGAUCACCCUCUUCCUCUGGAGAUCGGUGGCGUUCAUUGCGAACCGAGUCUUCACCGUCAGCCCAUCGAUUUGUGGGCUGCACACAACCCAAUUCUUCCUUGAGUUCGACUCGUCGGAGUCCUCGUUUGAAGGCGUACAUGGCGCUUUCGUCGGAGACUUCCUCAGCAGCGUGUUUGGUGUUGGUCCAGCGCUGGAUGUACGAACGGAUGGAUUCUCCCUCCUUUUGAAUACAAGCUCAGAGUUGCUCGAUGUCGCACCAGUGGCACCCAGGGUACCACCGCUGCACGACGCGUGGGCCCCGUUCCCGGGUUCCCGGGAAGGUCUCAUCCCGAGGAGCGUCUAUGAGCUCCCCGGCAAGCUACCAGCCCGAAAGGGGCUCGCGGGGCUUCGGGGAAUAUUCCCGCCUGGGCACCUCCGGGAAACUGCUUCCCGAGAGGGGGUUCCCAGGUGCGUUGGGCCCGGGUGCUUCCCGGGGUCGACUUGCUGGGUUCCCGGGCGCGUGCCCCCGCCUCGGGCGUGGGGCCCAGUGGACAGCGCCACGCGGGCGCAAUGCGGGCGCGGGACGCGCGGUCCCACCAAGGCAAUGAGUAAGGCGCACGGCUCAGUAAACGAGCCGACCGACGGGUAGUUACCCGUCCGAUCCAAGGAACAGUGGUUGUCUAAUCCUA